rnacentral:lncRNA from 1 species
GAAGACGAAACCGACCUUGCUGAACUCGAGGCAAGGAACCCAUUUGGAGCGGAUGAGAUACUCGAUCUGCUUCAGGAGGGACUCCACGGUGAGAGGUGGCAGGUAGGAAAGGGUCUCGAACUUCUUGAUGCCCUCAAUUGGCCACACCUGCAAUUAGAUUAAAAUUAGCACACAAAGUGUGAUUUGAGACACAUAUCGAUGGAGUAUUUCACUUCACACAUAUCGGUAUGAUGAUAUACAUACCUGCAUGCUCGUGAUCCUGCCACCGUUGGAGACGCUGCCGAGGCCAGCGCCGGCAGAGCGGCGGCUGACGGGGAGCCCGGCGGUGGACUUGAGGCCCCGGAAAGGAGCAACAGCGGUAGCCGCCGCCGACAUCACUGUCGGACCCAUAGCAUCCACCCUUGUAUCACUAGAGUAUAUCUACUUAGCUAAUAUGCUAAGUUUGGCACGGAGAGAGGAGGUCGAGUGGACUUCAUUCCUGGUCACAAGGGUUUAUAUAUACCAUAUAACAUACGAGCAAUUUGUGAUUAAUUUGUUGUCGUUCUAGGAGAUGUGGAAAGGGUGGAUGCCGUUCGUUGGUUGCCUUAUCCGUUCUAGAGAAGGGAUGGAUGACCGACGCUCGCUCAGCCGUCUCCUUCGUCCAUCGUUGCCAAUCUUUCUAGCUAUAAUUGGAAGUUCCAAAGGAACAUACGGUUUCAUGCCUACUUCCAUCGGCCUAUCAUGUACCAAUCCAAUAAAAGGACAUCGUUCAACCAUCAAUCCAUGUGUGUGUAGUAAGUGAUUGGCUACGAACCUUCAGCUGACUUGCUUUAUUGGAUAUUUCUGUAAAGCGAGUCCACGGUGUGUGGGUUUAAAAUCUCGUGGCGGCAACUGUUGACGGGUGCAAAUAUCAGUAGCCUUAAAACAAUAAACUUUACUCCGUCCCUUCCGAAAUGCAAGAAUGUCCUAAGUCAAACUUCUUAUGCUGCAGGACCAUAGUUUUUGAGGUGUUCUUCUCACGAGUCCACGAAGAACGGGAAUUUUUUGGUGUCGGGUAAGGGCGGGGGAAUAUAUAGAUGCUAGCAUCAGCAUGACGGGCUAACGGGUCAGGUAGGAUUUUGGACGACGUAGCACCUGACAUGUGGGGGCCACAUGUAAGAAAACCUGUCAAAAUGUCAUAACCCUCUGUUUUGGUCAACUUGAUACAAUCUGAUACAAAACGUGUGGUUUUCCUGACAAAUUAGCAAAUUUUGUGUCUCUGUGAGAAGCACGCCCCAAAAACUGUGGUUCCGUGAAAUUUAUUCACUAGUUACACUUUAUCUACAAACAUCUACGAUUCUAAAAUAGUUUGGUAUAUAUUUUCCGUAAUAUAAUUAUUUGAUAUUCUAAAUUCGGGGAUUUGUUCUUAUAAACUUGGUCGAAGUUUAAAAAGUUUGACUUCGGACAAAGUUACGACUUUUUACAUUUAGGAAUGAAGGGAAUACAUUUUAGUAAAGCAAUUGAGGAAUUGACAGAAUUAAAUAUCUUAAAUUAUACUGGUCCAUCGUGUACUCAUGGCAACAAAAUAAAUUUAUAGUCGAAAAGUUGGACCAUGAAAACUUAAAACGUGAUACAUUAAAAUUGUUGAAUCACUCUACAUCUUGUAAUUUUCUCUUGCAACCUUCUGGCGCGCUACUCAUUCCACAUUUGGUACUAUAUGUAUAAAUGUAUAUAUAUACCGCAUUAGGAGCCUCUAUUACUGUUUUAGUAUAAAUAGCAGUUUCCAUCGACUAUGCACUUCAUUAACUUUUUCUUCACGAGAUAACUUGCUUAUCGAUUUUCUUUAAUUAUCCAGAUGGCUUCUACUAGUUUGUUUCCUUGCUUACUGGGAUUUCCGCAGACUUUACGGUUAGGUAUUAUUGUCGUGUGGACAACACGGUGGCCGGAUGUUGAGAUGAUGAUGUCCUUUAUCUCCGUGUUGCUUCUGAGGACUGCGGAUCCGAGGCUAGUGGCGGUAUGGGAUGCCUCUCUACCUCUUGAUCAGGUCAAUCCGGCUCAGCAAGAGGCGGAUCGAUGGUGGCCGGUGUGACUAGAAGCGGGGAGGUAUAUAUGAAACGUUUCUUGCUUCCAGCAUCUCUUCUAGCGGUAUAUAUGUCGUCAGCUGGUUGAGGGAUUGAUGGCAAUCGAUCAUGGCUACGAUGACAUGUAUACGCGCCGGUAGGAACACAUAUCAGGCAAUGUCGAUGCACCUGCAUUGGGCCCUUGCUGAAGGUGGUGGUGCGUAUGGCAGUCUAAAGAUUUAAGACACAAAUUUAGACUUAAAACUUAAAUAAUCAAUUUGUGCCAGCGGGAAACACACAAACACGUACCGGUAAAUUAUCAUAAUCAGAAUUUGUCGACGAAUUUGAUAUUCUUUUACAAAAUAUACUUAUCUUAAUAUGUAUAACCGGAGUUUAUAUUACAUGCCCCUCUCCCAACGAUAGUUGUAGUACUCUUAUAAUAGUAGUACUCAUGAAUACAGUUAAUCCGGGUUGUUGGGAGAGAUCACAUGCAUAAAUACAACAUGAAACAAACGUGUGAAAAAGGUACAUAAAAUCGGUGUGACCCGUUCUUGUAUUAUAAGAAAUCAACUUGCUUAGGCCUUGCCGGACUCCUCACAACCCGGUGGCUUGAAGGCGAUGAAGCUGAUGCACUGCACUUGCCUGGUGUUGUCGAAGCCGAUGAUGCGGACAUAGGCGUCAGGGUACUCCUUCUUCACCUCCUCCAGCUCCUUUAGCACCUGCGUGGCGUCGGUGCACCCGAACAUGGGAAGCUUCCACAUUGUCCAGUACCUGCCGUCGUAGUACCCGGGAGAGUUGCCGUGCUCACGGAAGACGAAACCGACCUUGCUGAACUCGAGGCAAGGAACCCACUUGGAGCGGAUGAGAUACUCGAUCUGCUUCAAGAGGGACUCCACGGUGAGAGGCGGCAGGUAGGAAAGGGUUUCGAACUUCUUGAUGCCCUCAAUUGGCCACACCUACAAUUAGAUUAAUAAUUAGCACCGAAAGUAUAAUUUGAGACACAUAUCAGUAUUUCACUUCAACAUAUGUACAUGAUGACAUACAUACCUGCAUGCACCUGAUCCUUCCACCGUUGGAGACGCUGCCGAGACCAGCGCUGGCUGAGCGGCGGCCGAUGGGGAGCCCGGCGGUGGACUUGAGGCCCUGGAAAGGAGCAACGGCAGUAGCCGCUGACGACAUCACUGUGGGAGCCAUCGUACACGUACGUAGAUAGCUAACAAGAGGAGGCAGGCUUGCUUGAGUGCUCUCUAGCUACAGCGGCUUAUAUAACUGUAGGCUCCCCACCCAUCCAAUAUCAGCACAAGAUCUAGGAGGGGUGGCUGCAGUUCGCCGCGCGGAUUUGCCCAGGCCACGCUGGCAUCCUACGGAUCAGGUCGGGCGCCACAUGGCCGCACGAAAUGGCGCGCGUUAUCCUCUGGACGGAUACAAUUGGCUGCAACGCACUCUGCAAAUCAUGCCAUGAAGUGACCAAUUUUCACCUAUCAGGAUAGAUCCAAUGUGCCACGGCAUGCACUCAAAAACAGAACUUGCUAAUCCCUCCAAUCCAUAAAAAAUCUCGCCCACUUAUUAGAAAAUUUGUAAUGAGUUAAUGCAAAAUGAGCAGCACUUUUUAUGAACUAGAGGAACAACAAAUUAAGAGAAACUCUUCUAAGAUCUUAUCGAGAACGAAGCUUGCCCCCGCGUCGCUCAGUCUGGGGCGACACGGGCGGCAACCACACCAGCCCCGGCAGCAGCCUCUCCCCGUCCUCUCCUCCCCCUCGCCGCCGCCGGGCAAAGCCCGCACGGGGACGGCGGCGGCGGGGCUGUUUUUCUUGGCGGGGGUGUCCUAGAGCUCUUGGCUGAGGCGUUUGAGGUGCUGCCUCAUCGUGGUCGCGGCGUCUCCGGCCCGAUCCGGCAGGCUAUGCCUCGUCUUCGGCUAGAUCCGGCCGGCUUCCUCCCGGAUCCGGUGUUUCCCCUCGUUCUUCCUCUCCCUGGUGCUCGGUCUGCUCGUGGCUGCGCGGCUUCACGGCGGCGCUCUUCGGCCGGAUCUAGCUACUCGUUGGCCAGAUCCGUCAUCUCCUCCGGCUGAUCCGGCAUGUCCCAGGUCUCUUCGUUUCCAUCAUUUUUCCUCUCAGUUUGGUGAGGCGGCUGAUUGAACUUCACCGGCGGCAGAUGGGCUGCUGCUGCGGCCAUACAUGGUCCAAGUCGGUCCUUUUCGAUGCCAUGGUGGCGUGGUUUUCAUUUUCGGUCGCGUCUUCGGCUGCUGCCCGUGUGCGAGGUAUGGACGUCGGCUCCGGUGUUUGGAGUGUUGCUCUGGAUGAAAACUGCCCGUGUGCGAGGUAUGCCGAAGACAACGAUGUUGUAGCGCCGUUUUCCUUCUUGGAGGUGUCGUCGAAGAGCUUCACUUUCCCUCACUUUGAUGUUUGGUGUCUUCGGGUGAAAACCUAAGAUUUGGCUAUGGCCAGAUCGGGCGACAACGGCGUUUUUACGUCGAUUUCCUCCUUGGGGGCGUUGUCAUGGAGACAACGACUCUUGGUGGCAUCGGGUGGUGUGGUCCGUCUAUGGUGGAGCUUGUUGUCUCGAGUUGUUGAAGGUUUGGUGGUGUCUCUUCUUGUGUCAUGUGUUAGCUUAGGCUGUCGGUUUGUGUCCGGCGAGAACGUGCGUUUCUUAUCCUUUGGUGCGGUUUCGGCAUGUGAUGCCUUUCGUCUUCACUAUCGUCACGUAGGUGUCGUGUUGUAUUCUCGGUGGUGUGUGGUCUUUCGGCUUAGCCAACGGCAAGUGGAGGUAUGAUCUCGGUUGUGUAUUGCCCUUCGACUUCAUCGGCGGCACAUCGGCGUCGCGGUGGGUCUCAGUGACGCGCAGCCCUUCGACUCUGCCGGCUACGUAGGUGUCAUGGUGCGGCCUUGACCCUGUGCUUCCCUUCAGCUACGGCGACGACAUAGUGUCUGGGUGGGCUCGUCAGAUCGACGCCUUUCGACUACAUCAACUAUGCUCUUCAUUGUGCAUUUAUUUUGCCAUUGACAUGUUUCAAGAGUCUAGGUUUUUUCCUUGUGUUUCUUUUAGCAAAUGCUGUUCUGCAGGCUGGCUUUUGCCCACCCGAUCAGAAAAGAAAAACAAAUUAAAGGCUAAAAUCAAGCGAUGUUAUAUUCCCUUAGCUAUUACAAAUAUGGAUGAUAAGAGUUAUUUAUCCUUUUUCAACGAGUAACCCUUUACUUGGAAGUUCCAUGUGCAUGGCGCUGCAAGAAAACAAACAUCAUAAUGGGGCAAGACUUUUUUUUUUAUAAACAUCCAAUUUGGGUUAAAGUCUGAAAGAAUUUGGCUAUCUGAACUUUCAGUUUCCACAUUCUUUUACCUACUCAAUUCUUCAGCCAACAGGAUCAAUGGCGACCUACUAACACCAACCAGAACACAUGGGUCACAAACACGAAAAAGGGCUAGAAGGCUACUUAUACACACUCAUGUGUACUGCGAGCAAAAGAACAUAAUGUACAAAACUUUACAAAAUCUAGGGAAUUAAGACCUUCCCGUAUGCUGUUGCUGCCGCUGCUGCUUCAUGCUGGCUCUCCUGGCAACAUCCCAUGGUUUGUGAGGCACACCUACACCUUGCUGGGAUGCGAAGAACGACUCGUAUCCCGGGGAGUCGAAAGCAAAACCAGUGUGCUUGGAGUUCUCUCGAGGGAGCAUGGAGAUCGCAUAGCUUCUUGCUUCUUCUGGGCUCAAAUGGCUCCUCUCAGGCAGAUGUAUCAUGCUGUAUUCGUGGGGGUCAUCCUUGUGCAUCUCCUGGAUUACUUGGUAGUCAUAGGGAAAGAGCCAUCUUUGGAGCCUGAGAAAGCACACAGCAUCAAAGACAACAAUUGAUUCAGCUACUUCAGUAUGUACAAUGGAAGGAAUAACAAACGGAUGGCAUUAACAAACAUAUAAUUUUGCAAAAGAGCUGGUAUCUUACGAUAGAUACAGGAAAUCACCAAAGAGAGCGAUGACUGGAGCAAGCAUUAGUGUGAGGUAGAAGAAAAAGGUACUCAUCAGAACAUAAAUCACAAAAUAUACAUUUUCCUGCACAAGGUACACAGCAUUAAGUCAAUGCAUUUGUAGCAAGUAAUCGUCAUCAGCAGUGUAAUAGCUACAUUAUUCACCCACCUGUCGGUCAAAUGAUGUCAUUAUCGCAGAAUAUAUGAAGAUAAACAGAAACCAGGCCGCUAUACUGCCAGCUACGCUGAAAUAAUGCCAUCUCGUGAUAGAAUUGCACGACAUGAGGAGACGUAGAUUAACAGUCACCACAACACAAGUAAAGGCCAUCGUGCUAACAUCCCAUUGACCAAGAAUCUUGCCAGAUGAACCGUGACCAUGCUGACUUGCAGCUGCAGUAAAGUAAUAGAACACUAUUGACUGGUAGAAGGCAAAGAAACCCCACACCGCAAUCACUUUCCACCGGAAGAAUGUGUUCCUAAUUCCUUCUUGGUAAAGUUGUGGGUAUUUUUUUGAUAGAGAUGCACUCACAUCCUGAAAGGGUUCAGUUUAGUGAAUGUAGCAAGGAGCGUCACUCCAGAACAAGAAAAGUAGAACAAAUACAAGCAACCAUACCUUAUCAAACAACCCAACCAUAAUUACAGGUAGUGCCGUGAAAAUGACAUUAUACAGAGACUGGAACCAGUCAUCAUAAAAUCGCUGACCAGAAAAGCCAGUUUGGAAAGUGAACCAGAACUGAGUUAGUGUAAAAGUCAGAUUCUUGUAGAAGAAGUAUGUGAUAACCUGAAACAGAAAGUGUCAAUGUUAAAAAAAUUAAACUACACAGAUUGGCAGCUACAAGCUAAGGGACCAAAGCAUACCUUGCACAAUCUCAAGUAUGACCACCGCCCAUGUACAAGAAGUAAAUCCGUAAGAUAUCGAAACUGAGCAAUGGCAAAAUCACUCGCCAUAACAGCUUGCAUUCCUUCUUGUCCGCUGAUGCCAAUACCAACAUGAGCAGCUUGAAUCAUACUCACAUCAUUAGCACCAUCACCAAUACUGAGAGUUAUCUUACGUGCACCUUUCCUAACUAAACUUGCAACCUACAAAUGUGUCAACAUUACAUGUUUUGGCAUCAUUCGAACCCAACAGGUUAUUAGGAAAUAAAUCCAAAAAUAAGAGACUUUGAGAUUGCUGAUGGGAUGGGUAACAACCAAAUAAGCACAUAUACAAUAAGUUAAUUAAUACUACCUUUGUUUCAAAAUAUUAUACCAAAACGUCUUAUAUUUUGAAACAGAGAUAGUACUUAUAGUACAAGAGUGUACAGGACAUUUAGUUAAGAGGCCAAAACUAGAAUAGCAAAAGCAACCAAUGCACAGUGGUUAAUAAUGAUCUUGUGAAUCAUGCACAAACUAUUUUGUUGUCAAGGUACAAAAUUGGAUCCUUUAAAAUGUAAUAAUAUCAAUAUCCCCCGUUUAUUGCCCAAGCAUCCUGAAAGGCAUGCAGCUGAGAGCUGCAGACCAUACUGCUAAUUAUUUCAUGGGAAAAGGCAAGGCAUGCAUGAUAAGAACGCUAAAAGCGAGAAUUGAUAUUUACCUGUGCCUUUUGCAGUGGAGAAACUCGACAACAUACAACUGAUUGGCAAAUUAAACUCAAACCAAGAAGAUUCACACGCAGAGCUGGGUCUAGAGCGUACAUCAAGCAUCGUCCAUCAAUAAUGAAAGCCAACUUUCGUCCUGGCGUGCUCCUCAAAGAACGGUGGGCUUCCUCAAGGUAACUUCUCAGACUCUGUUUUACCGAGUCUUUGAUAACACGUGCAAUUUCCACAGGGUCUCCCUGAAAAUGACUGGAACAUUAUUCAUGGCAAAGAUAUGUGCAUAAGUUGAUUUACAUCAAUCAGAUACAAAUGCUAAAUUGCUAAUUAUGGUUGAUCAAACUGCAAAACACACGAGAUAUCCAAAAGGCUAUAUAAACAUGAUGGAGAGGCUAAAGCACUGAAACAACAGAAUCAACAUAAAGUAUUUUGUACUAUUAUGCAACUAAGCCUUUUGUCCCAAGCAAGUUGGGGCAGGCUAGAUAUGAAACCCAAACAGAAACUAAAGCAAAGUGCAGGUAACAAAAGAGCAAGAGAGUAAAUCAAGGUUCAGGCACAUGGACUGCUGAUUUCCAUGCAGCCCUAUCAAAAGCAAAAUCUCUAGAUACAUUCCAGUCCUUCAAGUCCCUUUAACUGCCUCCUACCAAAAGCAAAUAUCAUAGUAAUCCACCAACCAAAGUAACAAGGGAACUACUUGUAACUUCUUAGUUCACAAGUACAUACCAGUUGAGCUAUCCAAUUAUUCUAAAUAAUAUGGUUUGAUACCUUUACCAAAGUCUCAACUUGUAUUCAUUUUAAAGCUUAUACAAGAUAUUAUAUGUUAUGGCUUAACAGUCUCCAUGACACAAUAUGGCUUGACUUCACAGUUUAAUUCUAUAGGAUUAUCUUACCCUGUCUUCAGCAUCUCUAAUUGCAUCUGUCUCAGAAGUGAUGAUGAAUUGUUUUGUAUCGUUAUUCACCAGGCUGCACGCUGCAGAGCAAAAACUAAAUAACUUCAGAAGCUUUUCUAUGUCAGGUGAAAGAGAGAGAAAAAGACCGCCCGCCCCCCACCAAUAAUCCAAAACUGAGCUUCUAUUAGACCCCUUAAGAACGAAACAAGCAUGCAAAUUGAUCUAUAUAUAAUUAAAACCUCACCAUAUGCUAUAUUAAUUGCUGUUUCCAUUUUAUCUCCAGUUAGCACCCAAAUUUUUAUGCCAGCUGCAGAAAGAGUUUCAAUGCAGGCUGGAACCCCUUCUUGCAGUUUGUCUUCUAUUGCAGUGCACCCUAUCAAUAUAAGGUCCUUUUCAAUCAACUCAGCCACCUACAGGGGAAGAAACAGAAGGAAAUUAUAUGGCAAUGUCCCAGCAAUAUCUUAAAUCAGAAUAUACAUUAAGUCUAUUACUUCAAAUUCCUUUUUCCUAGAAAUCACAGUGAACUUAGUACAUGAAAGAAUGAAAGGAUAAUGCUUUUCUAAUGGGGAUUUGAAAAAACAUCAUAAAAAUAAUAAUAUAAAGUACUGUAUGUUCUUGUUCUAGAUAAAUUACAAAUAUCUUUUGCUCAUGAUCCUCUUUCCUGACUAAAAAAUAUAUAUUAUUAUGUAAAAUACUAAUGUUCUAUGGCAGUACAAGAUAAUAAAUUAGCACAAAAAACUAUUAAACUGCAAAUGUCAGCUGUUAGGGAUGGAUGACAUGACUCCUGUAGUUUUGGGGGGAGAGAGAGAGGAGACACACUGAACAAAUUACUUCCUUCGUCUCCAAAGAUUGCCAUGCCACAUUCUAUUCGGUCAGUCAACCUUUUACAACUUCAAAAUUAACAAUUAUAAGUGAAUUGAAUUACUACAUGAAAAAUAACAGCACUCAAUUUGCUUGCAUAAUAAUUUGUACGCAAAACUUUUGCUUGUAUAUUAGCAUAGAAAUCAUAGCCAGAGUUUUAUGUUGGGAGAAUAUAAAAUUAAAAAAUGGCCUACAUUUGUCAGGUACAUUCAGUUAAUUGUUUCCAAAACCAAAUUAAUUUUCAUACAUAAAUACCAAACGGAUCAAUAGCAUGCUCAACAGUGCACAUGAGACUCGAGUUCAGUACUGGAUGACAGAAAGUAAAAAAAAUCAGGCAAGCACUAGAAGGUGGAGGGGAAGUAAUCGAAAUUCAAAUCACAGGGACUGUUCAGCCUGUAUACUCAACAGAAGAGGAUGGUACACAUACCUCAUCAAGCUUCUUAUCACGAUCUCGUAAAGAAGAUUUAGCUUGAACAAACUUCUCAUUCCAGCUUUCGUACUGCUCCCUGCUUAGAUCUCGAUAAGCAAGGCAAAGCGUGCGCAAGCCAGCAGAGCCAAAUUGUUCUAGAUGUUCUCUGCUUGUCUUUUUAAUGUCAUGAUUUCCAUCAGCUAACCGUUCAAAAAUGACAUUAUCAGCGCCCUGUUACACAACAUUUGUAUAAGGUUAGUGCAUCAAUCUACAAAGUGAUAGCUACAUAAAGAUUCUUUUUUCUUGUAUUACCUUGCAAUACAGAACAAGUUUUCCAUUUGGGAAACGGCAAACCACAGAUUGGCGCUUUCUUGUACUGUGAGUGCAGUAAAGUGUGAAGUGCAGAACAAUGAUUUCAUCUUGUCAAAUUUAAAUUGAAAACAGAUAAACCAGACCUGUUGAAUUCCAAAACAUUCAGAAUUUCAUAUGCAACAUCUUGUAUACUCCCCAUCCUCUCAACAUGUGAUUCCCGAACCAAGACUGUGGUUGGCGUACGUCUACAAGACAGGCACAAAAUGUCAACCACCGGCAUUGCCAUUCACAAUAAAAAUGCCACAUGAAAUAAUUUGCAACAAAAAUCAUAAGAACUUAGAUGAGUUCAUGUUCACAGCACUUGCUUUAACACUUGUCUUAAUUUACAACGGCAAUUUUUUGUUGAUGGGCUAAUAGUUUAUUUAUGCUUCUUAGUAUGUACAUUCAGUCCUUCAUACAACAAACUAUAUAAGCAAUAACCUGGGUGAGUGACUCUUUUAUGCACAUUUUCCUUGGGACCAUAGCAUAGUUUUUUAAGAUACCUUGUUUGCAACAAACUGAUAAGAGGAAUCUAUAACUGUAUUUAAAGGCAAGGUAAGACAUGCCUAUAAAAGAAGAAACCAAAAUUCUUCGCAGCAGCGACAAGCGCGGCCUCGUCGGGAGAGGCAGCUUGAUAAGUAAUCUUUUCCGGUGUCUCCUCACCCUCAGGAAGAACUGUAUGACAGAUUGCAAGGCAUCUGCAGAAUUGCUAUAGAGCAAAUAACAAAGUUGUUACACAACUAGCACAUUAACAAGGGAAAAUGUGAAAAAGGAAAAUAGGUUCCAAAUUUUAUUAGUAAGGGCAUAUAUCGUGAUAUGUGAAUAAUUUGUGUCAACUAAAUCAAAACUGAUUAUGACCAAAGGGGAACCAAUCGAACUAUUCCACAGGUAGUCCCGUAUUUACCACGCAAGCAUCAGGAUUAGGUUCAUUUCUCCAUGCACCACGCAUUAUUCUAGCAUCAUCAAAGUUGAAUCCUUUCUCAUGAACUGCAGUGGCUGAUCUUUUACCCUAAAAAAGGCAAGUAAACUGGAUAUUAAAUCAGUUGUGCAUUAAAUUUUUCAUCAUAUACCACCACACUUCAAUAGCGUAAACAACAAAGAAAAUGUUGUAGACCUCAUCAUCAUCAAUCUUGACUCCGGCUCGCUCGGCUCCUCCUUUUUCAAUCUCUGUGAUGCCAGUUCCAUAUAUUUCCCCUCCAAUCGAACAUUUAAAGAAUUCCAUCAAGUUUCUUGUAAGUGUUCCAGUUUUGUCAGAAAAUAUAUACUCAACCUGAACCAUUAGUGGGGCAAAAAAAAUUUGGCAGAAAUGUCAAAUUAUUUGCAAGUGUUAAGUGCAUUUUAGUACCACUCGGCAUUUGUUCAGUCAUAUAAGCAUUUCUGGGGAUCUAGAACAGUUUUUCGGUGGGAGUAAGUCACUUAAUAUUAGUGAAAUGAGACUGUUCCCCAAGUGCUUAUAAUUGAUCCCACUUUCUGGAAUGAGUCGGUGCAGUGAGGUCAUUCUAUCCAUUAACCAAACCCAGCCAUAUAGGUCAAAUAAGUAAAUAACCCCAUUUCAGCAACAAACAAAGGGGCUUUCAUCAAACUAAACAGAAUGCUAAGGAACAAAAAAAAAACUGAUAUUACCUGCCCAAGCUCCUCAUUCAGAUUAGAAGUCCGAGCCAAAGCUGGGGUGUUGCUCUCGGCAUGAUACAUAUUCAGAUCAUUGUUAAUAAACUUUGCACACUGAAUGAAUUUGAUCAUCUGCCAGCCAAAAUAAACAUAAGGUCCAAUCCAAAUACAGGGUACACUAAAUGAUAAAUUGGUCAAUAUACCUCAAUGGAUACAUAAAGAGAAAUGGGGAUGAUCGUUGAGUAUAGAGUUAUUAGAGUAAACAUAGUUAAAAUGGUCACCUGCAAAAGUACAAACCUAUGAUAUAAGGCCACUUAGAGAAUAUUCUCUACAAUAAAUUAACUAAAAUAAUAUAUACCACAAAUCUGUUCUUGGGAUUAAACUGGUCCUCGACACGCCCACGCAAUCCAAGAUAGAAGUAUUUCUCAUUAAUAAACACGCCACUGUUCACAAAAGCCAAGUAUGAUGAGUCCAUUGGUAGAGUUUUAGGUUUCUAAAGAACGUGCAAGCUAAGCAGUCAUAGUUACCAAAAUCUAUAUGCUGAACAGAGCACUUCCAUUUCUGACCAUCUAGAAAGUGCCCUAUUAUGUACCUCCCACAUAAAACCACUAAGAAAAAAGAUAAGGCUAUUAAGACCUAGUCAUGUGCUCAUCUAUACUGCUCCUAUGCCACAAUAAAAAAAUAACUUCCCCAAACAAGCUCCUGACAACUCAUGUCAUAAUGUUUAAAGUUUAUCUCUCUAUUAACAGUUGUUUUUUCAUGAUCAAUUAAAUUGUGAAAAAUGAUUGUGCAAGCAUAAGCCUCCACAACAUCAACCUAACCGAUAUAACUCAUGUUCAGAGAAUAUACAUGUAAACAAUAAUACAAGAUAGAUAAGUCAAAUAAAUGAAGUGGGCCAAAUAAAACACUGACCUUCCAAUAGCACCAAUGACACACAUCGUAAAGAGGGUUGCAAAUAGAGCAAGAAUAAGCUUGUCUAGUUUCUUCUCCAAUGUACUUCUUUUAGAGGGAACAUUCAUAGAAUUCAUCAUAACCUGCAAUAGUGUCCCACUGCAGUAAAUCUCAAAACUAGAAGCACAUCUAACCUACAAGUUGAAUAUAUAGGGACACAAAAUUGCACAUACUUUCGUCUCAUGGCCCGUGAAUAUAACAGCCGCGACAAUGUACUCUGUAUUACGAAGGCUGCAUCCCUGUGGCAAAGUGGUAAUAAGAGGUUGCAUGUGUGCCACAUAAAGAGAGAGAAUUAAGUGUCAUGCAAGACACCGUUCAGUCUGGUGAAAGUAAACAUUUCUUUUGCACUUUACAAACAUUGCUUCAACCCUUCACCACUUAUCCUACAUAUGGGACUAGAGAAGAAAUGGAAGUUGUUUAUAUGAAUGUUAAACAUUUCCAAAUUGUUUAUAUCAUAGCUAUCCUUGUUUGCAAACCAAUAAGAACAAUAUUAUUAUAGAGGUGUUUUAUGAUGAAAAUUUCUGCUGGUGACAUUUGGGUGUCGUCAAUAUUGGUAUUUGGAGGAGAUGUUGGUGAUCAAAGUUAAAGGCCGAGUAAAGGCAUCACGCUAUGAUGUUAUUUUUUACCUGAGGGAUUUUCUUAACAAACUCAUGCUAAAUCUAGAACAUGCAAACAACUUUGCAGGUGGACAAUCUUGUAAAGAAAUUUCAAGGGCAUGUUUGUGUGAGGGGUAUUACUUUGGUACGUGUUGGUAACUACAUACCUAAUUGUUACAAGAAAAAUCUCAUCCAAACAAGCCCUAAGGACAUUAUGGACCUUGCUACUGCAAAGUUGGUAAGUCGAAAAUACGACAGGAUGUCUGAUUGAUAUGUAGGACCUGGACCCACAUGUCAUUCUCACAGCGAGUCGCACUAUUUCAAAUGUCAACUUUGUGGUGGCAUGGUUUCAAUUUUCCCAAUAAGAAACUAGAUACAAAUAGCAUAGAUGAACAGCACUUACCCUUAGUAGUAUUUGAUUUGGUGAAAUUGGUAUAGUUUGCUUGUCCACAAUAAGGUUCCCGGUAAAUGUAUAAAGUGAAUUGUUUGGCUGUUCGCAUUGUAUUUCACCUGUAAGCCAUGAAACAUACAGAUAAUGUGAAGUUAAGAAAAUGUAGAAUAGUUAAGUGAAGUUCAGAAAAGGAGCAAUGCUUCCUACACCAACUACCGAAAAAUGUCUGCAACAUGGAACAAGAAUAGAUAAAAACCUUUGAAUUCAGAAGCCUUUUCAGGAAUUACGCAGUCCCAGGUUUUCUCCAAAGCCUUCCUUAUUUUCAGGUUAGUUUCCCCAUCAAGAUUUGCUGUCUAAGGUAAAUAGAAGUAUGAUACACUUCAAUUAAAACAGAGUUUCUCUAAAUCAUUCAAUAAUUUCAAUUUGGACAAAAGAUGGAGAAGGUAAGAAUGAAUAUAUUGACCUCUAUGUAGCAGACACCAUCAGGGUUCGUACUUGAUAGGAAGAGCAAGUCAGAAGGAAAGUAAGUGUCUUGCUUGAUCUGCUCUAAAGAAGUGCCAUCACUAUUAGUCUUUUUGGAUAUGUGUAUCGAGCUGAAGAUUAAAUUUGCACAGCACAAAAGAUCAAGUGCAUUAAUUUGUGGAAGCAACAGAUCAAUUGAAUUGAUCAUCAAAUUGCUAUCAGGAAAGAUGAAGACAUUACCCUCACAAUAUCUCCAACCUGCAGUCUUUUCCAAGGGGCACUUUCCCAUUUUUGACCUUGCAAUACAUCGACGUGCGCAUUAUUAAUUGACAUGUCAUUCUGGAAACGUUUCUGUAUAAUGGGAGGCAAACAAAAAGGGAAGAAUAUCAGAUAACAUUAAGAAUAGCAAUAAAAUAGUGGAGCAACAGAGCAUGAGAGCAAUACUAACCCAGUCCUCAAAAGCUUCCUUGAUGAGUGAAACCAAAAGCACUAAACUAAGUGGAACCACAUUGGUGACAGGGUGGACUGGACUGCGAAGAUACAAGCAUGUAUGAACUAAGAUUUCUAGAAGUAAAGGUGAAGGAAAGCAAAGGAUGACUGAAUCAACUGAUGGACUUGAUAUGCUAAGAAGUGUCUAGCUGUAACAUGAGAAUUCCAUAGGGUGCAUGCAUGAGAGAGAGAGAGAGACCUAAUUGGUGUAGUCGACAAGAUUGAAAUCAUAAGAAAGUAAAGAUUUGCCACCCGUCUGAACUGUCAAAGCAAAAAAAAAAACAAAUGAAUUACAAAAGGUUCCUAUGGUCAAAUUGCGAUAAUACAGAAAGGGAACAUCUAAAUCGGUGUUACAGCUACCAUUGCAAAGUUUCUUUAUUCGAUAUGGAAAAAUGCAUUACAUGUUUAAUGUAUGAAGCCAUUGAAAUACUUUAAUGUACCUUACGUAAAAAACAGUGGAUAAUGAAAUUGCCAGAAUUAUGGUAUCGCAUAAAAUGAAGGUUACAUUGAGCGAAAAGCAUGAUCAGGGCUUUACCAAAUAACAAAAUCAUACUUCUCCUUUUCUCAAUAUAUGGCAUUUUAGGUUUCAUUGAAGACAAGUCUUUGAAAAGGAUUUACUUUGUGUUGUUUUUAAGGCAUGAAAUUUAUAUCACUAGAUUCAUCCUCAAAAGUACUUAAUGUGGAUUCAUAUCAUAUAAAUCACAUAUUAAUGAAGUAAUUCUUGGUCAAAGUCUUGUAUUAACGAAACCUAAUAUGUCCUGUAUUGACAAAAUGAGGGAGUAUAUUAUCUAACAGUGCAUGUAUACAGGCACGAUACUGGUAGCGCGUAUUACAAGCAAGGUAUCUUAAAAACAUUGCAACACAGUGCCAGACCAGGUAAGCAACUAAGCAUCUCAUGUAUCCACUAUUUUAAGGGAAGUUGAUCCAGAGUGAGGAAAUAAACAUUUUUAAGGAGAUAUAUCAAUUUGCAAUGUGAAAAUGAUACGGAGUAGUAUAAUCAUUUCACUGUGAUAACAAAUACUCCCUCCGUUCUAAAUACUUGUCGCUGUUUUAGUGCAAACUAAAACAGCGACAAGUAUUUAGGAACAGAGGGAGUAACUUCCAUUUACCGUUAGACAUGAUACAAAAUAAUAUGUUGAAAAAAAAUCUAGCCAAAAACUAAAAAACAAACAGAAAAUCUGCAUUAAACGAUGACAAACCCAGCAGGUAUGUUGAUUAACAAAAUAUGUAUGAACAAAAAACAACGCAUCAAUACCUGUUCAAACAAUCCUUUAGGUAGAAAUGUCAGCACACUGUACUUUGUAGUCGACACAGAAUUUCCCUGGAAAUGUAGAAUGAGAAUGUUAAAGAACUAAUUCUAGCAGAAAAACAAAGUAGCGCUCUGCAUUAGAAUCGCGAUGGUCUGAUACCCAACAUGAGGGAGAUUCUGAAACUAAACAGAAGAGCUAAUUGCAACUAGAAGCAUGAAAAAAGUAUAGCUUGAUCUUUUUACAACAUCAAGUCUGAAUACAUUCAAGCAUUUACACUAACUUGGAACAAAAUGUGGGUGUCAAAGAAAAUGCAUGAAUACACCUACUUACAAUAAAGCACCAAUUUUGCAGUGAUUGGACAAACUAUGGUUAAAAUACUUAAUAAUAGAGUUCUACGUAUUUGGAGGCAUAAAACGCAUUGCAGUUGGAGCAGUGGCAUUAUCAUGUUAGUCAGUCUAACAUGGCAGUGAAUGACGUGAAUUUUUUGCUAGUUUAGACCUCUGGCCAGCGCAAUUGACAAAAAUGCCCCCCUCUCAAAACUAAUGCCAAAAAUGGUCUGGCAGAAGGCCCGAAAGGCGCCACAUUUCAUUUUUCGCCAUCUGAGCUGCGCAUGCAAACAUUCCGACAACCUGAAAGGCGGAAAGGCCGUUCCGCCUACUGCAUUUGAUGAAUGCACCUGACAAGGGCGGAAGGUGAACUGGGCCCUGCAGAUGGAAGCAAUUUCCACAUUUGUUACAGACCUGGAAUCUUUUUUUUUGUUGGAGUCGACGGACCAUGUAUGUGCGGAUGCAUAGGAAUCGGCAAGCAGCCUAGCUGCUAGUUCACGGGCACGUUUUACAUUUUCUUUCCUCAGGUUUGGCUAGUGCUACCACGUUGAUACUAAUCAACGCUUCUUGUGAAUGGGCUUAGUUGCUUCUACUAGUCGUGCGAGCGUUAAUCUUUUCUCUGUGCGCCUGCAUGUGCGGGCGUGGGAAUCGGGUCAGGUCCCUGCAGACAGCACGCCUGGCUGCACUGGGCCUGCUUCAGCUUCCGCCCCUGAAAAUUCACUUUCGUCCAUUUCAACUGGAAACAAGUAGGCUCCACCUGUCCUGUUGGCGGAAAGUUCAUUCCUCCUACCCAGUGGCCACUGGGUCAGUUGCUGGGCUUUCCACCACGUCAUUUUUCAAAUUAUAUUUCAGAUGGAGCUAUUUUUGCCAAUUCCGUUUGACAAGGGGCUACAAGAGCAAAGAAAUUGAAUGACAUAGCAAGCAAUCAAUUUCCCCUUAUAGGUAAAUAAUAAACAGCUUUGCUUCAGCUUACUGUCAUCAGCUGGUGGCUGACUGCCCUGACCAAACACAAGUUCAGUAAUCUACACAGCAAGCGGCACACAGGUGCAGCUAAGCACAUGGAUGAACAGAAUAUUCCAGCCAUUGAGGCUCAGCUCUCGAAGCUUAAUGCCAGGUGGCAUCUACAUUGUAUUGCAGCCCGUAGCACCCUGAUUGACUAGUAACCCAACAAUGAGACAAGCUCUAAUCCACCCAAUGACCUCACAGUUGGCAAGAAAUGCAGCCCUUAGUGACACGCACCACCCUACAUAACUUUCUCGUGGACUAAUCAGUAUGAAUCAUAUAAACCCUCUGCAAGCUGCAGUGAAAUAAAACUACUACUACUGAACUAGCUAUUGUCCCAGAUGGCCAUCUCCAACCCAACCGCCCAAGCAUGAAACAAGGGGCCAGUUACGAGAUCUAGGCCUACAGACCCCUAGACCUUGAGACAACCGACCUGUUGAUCAUCCGAAUUAGAGGAGGAGGUGCACACCCGUACCUUGUACCCGACCGGCGCGUUGGCUUCGCGGUCGUUGCAGUAGAUGGUGCGCACGGUGGGUGCCUGCGGCUGCGGCUGCCGUCGGAGGCUGCCGCCCCCGCCGCCGAGACGCGCCGUCCUGGACGCCUCAGCGCGGCCGGCCUGAGAGGUCCCCCCCCGCGGCGACUGCUCGCCGCCCAGCCGCGCGGUGGCAACCCGCAUCAUCUCCUUUAUGCGCGAGCUCAUCCUGCCCCCCUCAGCGCCAAACCCAGCGCUGGAGGAGCCGGCGGGAGAUCUGGGGAAACCUCACGGUGGAUCGGAGGGGAGACCUAGUCGGAUUUGCGCGGCUUUCUGGUGGAUUUCAGUGCCUCGCUGAGGAGGGGAUUCGAUUUGGGUCACGCGUUCCCGUAUGUGCGUAUUUUUUCCGUGUAAUUUUUUUGUUUUGCCUUUUUCUUUUCCUUUGGCUCCGGGAGAAGAGAAGACAGGAGGGGAAGGAAAAGCGAAGGUCGCGACUUCGCGAGGAAGAAAAUGAAGGGAUUACUGCAGAUCACACCCUUGAUUAUUUUCGAAUAUGGAAAGCUCCAGUAACUGAAGUUUGAAAUUCCAGCCGCGUUUGUCUUUUCCUUCUUCGAGCAAACAACCGUGUUCUUGACUUGUUCUAUGUUUUUGCUGUCCGGAGGACUACCCGAUUUGCAAGUAAAUAAUGGCAUUAAUUUCAUAUAAGCACUUUAGGACACCACACUUGACAUGGUUUUCUACUGACGACGACUAUAUGGUGGCUUUGAUGUUCCAUGAAUAGAUCUUUUUAGCGGUGUUUCAAGUUCAGGUGUUAUAACAAAGCAUUACUCUUGACCUAUCUUCCCUUGCGACCAUGCUUUUUGAAUCGCCAAGUCGAGUCGAAUCGCCCCCCAACAGACUUGGAGGUUAGUAUGAUUAGUCAGAAACUAGUCUCGACUAAUCAACCCAAGUCGAGCCUAGUGAUCAGUGAGGUUUAGGGAGCUCUAGCAGGGAGCAUUAGAGGAAAGGAGUGAAUUGCAGUAGAGGGGAAGCACGAGGGAACAGUUUUUGUGGUGCUGGAGCUUGAAGAAGAGGUUCAUGGCGGCUAGGAUCUAGGAGUCGAUAAACUUAGAACGCCCGUGUUGAGGCAAACGCGUUGAGGAAGACGACUUCAAAGGUGGUUGGCUCAUUAUCAGGAUAGGUGCGUGCCUGGCAGCCCAUAAAGGCCUAUUAGAAAACCCUAACUCCCCCCUCCCCCCCCCCCCCACACACACAUUGCCUUCUUCUACACCACACACGCACCAAUGGCGGCCAUCUUCUUCCCCUUCCCUGCUGCUCCCCAUGCCUUCUCUCCCUCCCCGAAAAGAAAUAUCUUCCGAAAAUUCUUCUCUUCGAGUCAAGUUGAGGGGCUCGCGGCGUUCCUAGUCACGGCGGCUAGUCGGAGAAGUCGCGGUUCUAGCUGACGAGUCGCGCGACUUGCUCUGCUAGUCGAGUCGCGGCUGCAAGCCGCCAUCAUUGUGCUGGCUCGGCGACUAGUUGGCGAUUCAAAAACCAUGCUUGCGUCUUAUAAUUUUGUUUCCUCUUAGAUUUUUUUCAAUUAUGUAUGGAACUCUUUUAAGCUUGGCUAACAUAUUGGGUCAAUUUGUCUCCCAUUGAAAAAAAAACAAUUUCCUAUAAAAAAUAAAGUAUCCACAAAACAAUAUGCAUAGCGCAGUUGUUUUCAAAGUUGUGGAUGAAACUUUGUGUUGUACAGGCAACCACUUAAUAACUUGUUCGGUUGUAGAAUUCCCCGCAUGUAUUGAAGAGGAUUAAGAGAGAUCUAAGGAAAAUUGAUCUGCAAUUCGAUCAUUCCCUCUUAAUCCCCAUCGGAGUGGAAUCAACCGAACGGGGCUAAUGUGGACCAUAUCACCUUGAGGACUCCAUUCUUCUUUUAUGGCAACGUUGCAUGGACCUUGAUAUGAACGCACGUGCCUGCAAUCUCUAUUAUUUUUUCGUAAAUAGCAACUGUCCUUUCUGUAUCUUGUAAUAUGUUUUCUACAAUUUUAUUUGGGAUAUUUCGUCAAGAACCCAAAUCGAUUACAUUUUCCACUUUGGCGAAUGAGUCAAGAUUCUCCAUGUGUUCCAGCGAGGCAACUGCGAGCUACACAUGUAUGGUGAAACAAGCCUCGCAACUUCGUAAGUAACUCCAAAACUACAUCAGCACGUCUCUUGAACUUUGGAAACACACAGACGUGUUCCACGACCGUGAGGCGACGGAGUUAACGGGGCAGCGUUGCCGGAAAGACAAGAGUACCGUAACAAGGCCCAGACUGGGCUGCAUCGGCGUUCUGCCUCUAUUACAAGCGAGAGAUGUUGAACCGGCCAAGGUUAGGCAAGGCAGUCAGCGGGAGGAUUUUUUUUUUUUUGUUGUUGGUUUUGAAGAGGCGCGGGAGGAGAAGAACUUGCUUGACCAGCCCACAAGAUCGUGAACCGGUAUGACAUUGACAUUUUAUUUAGGGCCAGUAACGUGUAAUUAGAAGUACUAGCUUACAUCUCUUCCUUUUUGAACCGUCAGAUCUGCAACCAUAUCAUCUCUCCCCUUUGUCCUCUUCGCUAUGCCGAUUUUAGUGAAACGCCGCUGCCAAAUCUUCACAGGAUUGUGAACCGGCAGCAGCUUCGACCCUUCAAUAUUAUUAUUACAGCUAAAUAAAAGACUGAAAUUAUAGGUGAGGUCCUUUGUUCUAAUCGCCCAAGCGAGCAGAAGCCAAGAGAUUACGUGCAAGCAUAGCAUGGCCAUGUUCGCCAACUCAUGACAUAGUGGCACAGGGACUAACCACCUGGAUUACAUGGCUAGCUUCCAUAUAUGUGCAACAAAAUAUUGGUACCAGGCAGCCAUCUGUGCCACCAACCAUAAACUCCCUGAUCCCAAAAAAUACAAAAUACCAAGAGUUUCCACCCACAUCAGUACAAGUGCACAACAGUUUAAGAGACAAGCCAAGGAUCAUUCCCAGUUUGUGGGAAUAAAUAAGAGUCCGCAGCAAACAGAAAACUCAAAAUCGCUGGCAAAGUUAGGAUGUGGAAAAAAGAAAGGCUUAAAAUGAUCUAGCCAUGGCGUCAGAAUCUAUUAUCAAUGUUUCUCUCUCAAGGAUUUCCCUUCUAUAUAAAGUAUAAUAUUACAAAGGGGCUGCUUAAAUAUCAUGGACUCCUGGAAUGUAAAGAGGGUAAUAAUCAACACUACAUGAGCCUCCUUUUUCCUGAGGCUGCUUCCUAAGACUGACUGACUGCUUCCCCGAGGAUCCACAUACACCCUCCCCUCUCCUCAAGUUCCACCUCCCACCAUGGAAGUUAAACCCCCACCAUGGAUCCGAUGCUAACCAACUGUACGCGACCUGGAGAAAGUCAGUCAGCUUGGUGGUUCAAUCAAGACAGAGCAUCACGAUAUUGCCCAAAUGGUAUAAUUGGCAGGAUCAAUAAGUAGUUUAUGCUCGCAGCAAGAUCCAAAAGAACCAAUCUACCAUGACUAAUGUAUGACAAGAAUGAUGUCUUAUGUCUACUUUCAGAUACACUAUGGUCCAGGUGAAACAAUAUUUUAAAGUUUAGUAAUUACUGGCAGUAGUAGACAGACCACAGAAGUGUAAAGAUAUUUGCACACAUGACCUUUUAAUCCAAGGCUAACCCAACCUUGUAAGCUACGUGCUGUUUGUGCUAACGCUGCUGCUUGAAUGCAAUUAGACAGUGGUGAUGUCCUUGUUAGUCUGUUACAUACCUAAGGCAUCACCUCCUGAUUCUAGGUUUGCACCGGAACUCUGCUAAGAGCGCUAUGUGAUCUGAUGACCAUUCAGGUGAAGGAAGAGCAGUGUCUUUUCUUAAGCUCUCCUCAUCCAGAAGUUCCAACAAAGACUCCACGGUCAACGAAUCCGCUGAAACAAUAAAGGAAACAUGAUCAACUGACCAUAAUCAAACAUAUCACAAUACUACAAGCUGAUUCUGAAGCAAUUCCCAGAAGUCUAAAUACAGCAUACAGGUCAGGUACCUACCUGUGUAAAAUAUAUAAUCAACAGUUCCAGUGAAAUCCCUUGUGCAAUUUGUGAAAAGUGGUUCAUUUGUUCCUGGAUCCAUCCUCCUUCGCUGGUGCUCUAAAUCAUAGCCAACACCUACCAUUCUUGCAAAUGAAGAAUAUGCACUGACCUGCAAACAAGUAAACAUUGGUCAGAAUUUUAAAGGAAGAACAAGAUAGACAAGCUUGAUAGUUUUACUGUACCAGAGGAAGCUGGUGCGUCAACUUGCUCACGGGGCGUAAAAUUGAAAGUGGGUCUAUGGCCAGAUCUGGAUGCAAUUGAUCAACUUUGCCCACCGCAAGAAGCCCAUGUGGAGUACUGAAAGACAAAAGGAAGCACUUAGAGAUUUAAAGUUAGAAAAAACAAGUAAACCUGAAAAAUAUUGCUCCAAUAGAAUCUUGACAUGCACCUCCCCGGGAUUGAAUUGAAAUCCCCACAGACCAACAUUGGAAUGUCUGCACUGUUGGCUAUUUUCUCCAAUCCUUUUAGUAGUGUUUGAACCUGCAAAAAACAUACUUACUUUCGAUCUGAAUUUUUCAGAUGUUGCAGAAUGCUAGCCUACAGAGAAUGUGACAAUACUGACCUCCCAUAGUUUCACAUCUUUGAGGUCUUGGUGGACAUUUACAUGUGUAUUGGCCUGAAAUUUGAGAUCAUUUAAAAGAAUGAGACCUCCAUGACUCCAAGUAGCAUAAGCCUAGGCCGUAUGAACAAUGGGAAAUCUGUAGUAAAGUUGGCCUCAAAAUCUAGAGUCUAGAGAGCCAAGUCCCAAUCAUCCGCCAUUAACAUAUAGAUGUUUCCGUGCAUCUUAUGCUACUAAGGUCAUCCUACACAGAUAUAUGUUUCACUUCAUUCCUAAAUGUUGUGAGCAAAGAAGGAAAAGAAUCCAUAUGUUGUUCUGCACUAUGCUGCUAGCAGUUCAAUAGCUAAACAUACGGGAAAGUCCACUUUUGGCCCCUUAACUAUUGCCUCAGAUCAAAAUCAUCUAAUUUGCACCCUCAACUAUCAAAAGCAUCCAAGUUACAUCUGAAGGCAAUAUUUGUUAGAGGCUUUGUGUGAUGUGGCAUCCAUGUCAACGUGUUUUGCCACAUCAAUCGCUGCUGGGCAGUAGGGCCCACAUAUCAUGGCUGCCGUGCCCCUUCUUUCUUUAUAAUUCUUCCUCCUUAGCCAUGCCAUGGCCUCCUCUGUAGGCUAUAGCUUCCACUGCUGCUGCUACAGAUAACCCAUGUUUGACGUUGCAUAACAUCUUCUGAUUUAGAGAGGGGUAUCCUGACAGACAUGUACCAGUCUCCGCAAACCGCUGCACGGCUGCAUCCUGAGGGGAAUGGACAAAGAGAGGAUUAGAGAGGAAGGCUGAGGAGGGAGGCGUUUAGGGCGACUCCAACACGGCCACCCAAAUCGGACACAAAAAGUGUGUCCGUUUGGGUCUGCUGGUGCCCCUAACACGGUCACCCAUUUGGUCCGUUUUAUUAUUUAGUAUUGGCCACGGAUAGGCGGGCCAGGGCAAGGACAAGGGAGGACAAGCGCAGUGUCCACCCGCUGUCCGCCCAGACACAAACCCGGUCAGAUUUGGGUCGGCAAUGGGUUGAGCUGGACAGAAAAGCAGACAGCCGCCACACCGGACGAAAUGGGUCGCCGCGUUGGAGUCACCCUUAAUGCUAAGCUGGGAAAGAGGAAGGGAACAGAAAUAAGAGGAUGAGGACAAGGGAGGGAGAAAAGGGUGCUUCCAAAAAAUCAAUCCCAGGCAUGUGGGGCCUACUGCCCAGUGGAGAAUGAGAUGUCAAAGUUGCUGAUUUGGCGGCUACAUACAGAAUAUCACUCAUGAAACCAGCUUCUGGUCCUAUCGAACGGUUUCAUGAGUUGAUGGUUCAAUUUAGACCAGGCAAAAGUUGAGGGAUCAUAAUUAGGCUUUUCCAAACAUAAAUGAAUGUCAUGCUGUAAAAGUAGUGUUCGUCAUCCAGUAAACUGGUUCGAAUAUCCAACAAGCGCACAACUACUUUAUACACAUCUAAAGAAAGAACAGCUAUUUACAUACCACACAAAGGAGCUGCCUUUUACCAGGAGUUUCAGUUCCUUGGUUGCCAAAUUUUGCUUCUAAAACCGCAAUCAGCGCAAUAUUAUCCUUCAAAGCAAAUAGAACGUGUGAUAAAUAACAUCACUUUUUUUUGCGAAAAGUGAUAAAUAACAUCACUGUAGCAUACAUUAUUUCUUUUGAAGUUAAUCUUACUUUAAUCAGUCGACUUAAAGCCACUCUUUUCUGGGAAGCUGGAAUAAUAGCUUCUGUUAAAGACUGUGCAGCCUUAUUGAACUCAACCUACACAAGCAAGUACAAGUAUUAGAUAGCUGCAAAUAUCAAGCUGCUGCAAACCUGCAGUACAGGUACCUCGUAUUUUUUGACAUGUGAAAAUCUAUCUCUACGGAAGAAAGUAGCACAGCCAUCAAUGGCAUUAGGAACUCCAGCAUACACCUGUGACAACAGUAAAGUAAAAUCAAACAAGAGACAAAAGGUAUUAAACCAAAAUAUGAAGGAAAAAAUCAACCCAAAGAUACCUCUGUUGUCCGUUUCUUGUAAAGCGCCUGAUACCCAUGUUUAUCAAACUCAGGAGCAAAAAAAUCCUCAAAGUGGUUCAAUUGUACCUGAAAACAGUAGGACUUGGCUUAAUUCCCUCCUGUUACAAUCUUCGGUCACUCUUCGUUUUUAUUGUAAGCCGCUUCAGUAAACUCUUCAUAAUAUAUAUGCAGACAAUAUUCGUGAAAGUUUAAACAGCAAGCAAACUAUCAUAAAUUCAUAAUCCAACAUCACUGAAAAGUGAAAACAAUCAAACAAAGUGAUGGCACAAAUAUGGAAACGAACAGCCCAGCAGUAUAUGAAAGAUUGUAGGUUGAUGAACAGGGUUCCGGCAUUAAAGUUUACCGAGUCGCAAAAAUUAUAUGAUCAACCAAAUGAGACAUGCUCGGUUCCUAAAACAAAUAUAUGAGAUGAAAAGCUGAAAAUAGGUCACCAAAAUAAAUAAAUUCAGAAGAUAGCAAACAUAUGAUACCUCCUGAAGACAUAUAAUAUCAGCAUGAUAACCAAUAAUUUCGCGCAUCAAAUUUUGUCUUCUGUAAGUCCAUGAAAGUGCCCACGUUGGGCAGUAGCUAUAUGCAUCAGAUGUAGCAUAUGCAUCAGCAAGAAUAUUAUAGGACAGCACCGUGAAUGUCCCAAAAGAAGAAGUCUGGCUGUCUAUAUCUGAGUGACCCAAAACAUCUCCAUUCACUUGGAUAAGGCGGCGUGGAGUAGGAGUUGGUGCUGGAAUCACACGUGAUGUCAUAAUUGAAGUUGGAGACCCCGCAGGUACUUUCUUUUCCGUAUCCACCGCUGCACAUUCAAAUCUUAGAACAUGCCCAAUAUCAUCAGCAGUUGGUGUAUACGUCUGCGAGCGUCCCACUUCAAACCAUGUUUCACCCGAGUUCUUAUCAGUGCCUGAGGGAUACAAGGGAACAGGUCCAUUAUUAACUCCAGGGCUCUGUCCAAGAUUUGACAUUGAGCCAGACCCAGAACUUAGAAUCCCAGAACUACCGCUGCCAAAUCUACCAAAUAGCUCCUCCUCUUCAGCUCCAUUUUCAUUUAAAGCACUACUAGCUCGCUCAUGCAAAACCCUGUGGUGCUGCCAUGCAUCAGAGAAGCACUUAGCAGAACAAUGGUAGCUCUUAGCAGCAGGUAUUUUUGACUUGAGACAACCUAAGCACUGAAUUGUUGCUUGCUCCAUCGGAUGUACACUGCAGAUAGUAACUUUUCGAUCACUCUGUAUGCGAUACCUUCGAGCGAAAAGUCAAAUCAGUAUAACCAUGUGCUACUAGAUACAGAAAAAGUUUAGAAGAACAUGAUUGAAUAUAGUAACUACAAGAAAGGACACCUAAAUUGCCAAUGUUUUAGCAUGUAUGAGAUCCAGGAAAACUUGCUAUCAGCAUCUUGGAAGUCCAUUAUUCAGAGACAUUAGACUCACAACACUUCCAUUAUAAGCAUAGUAUGAAUAAGGCAAAAUGAAGCAGGUUGCCAAGAUGUCGCAAAAAAAAAGAAGCAAAUUACAAGUUUGCUUGUCAUGAGUUGCUGCUGCUGUUGUUUUUUCUUGAUUUUAGUCCCUCAACCGGCUAACUCGUGAUCAUUCAUCUCUUGCUUUCUUUACCAGAUCAACCAUGCAACUGAUUUCUUUAGCGGACCAGGCAAUAUAUGUAAUAAGCAAAAUUCUACAGUUUAGAUCAGAGAUUCAGAGGACUAUUGCAGGCUCUCAUAUAUCAUCAUUAGGGCAUGACGACCAGACAAGGAAGUUGCUGUGUAUAUUAUUAUUCCUAGAAGAAAAACAUUUAAGUACUGUUCAAGGAGGCGACCAACUAUAGCCCAGUGCCCACCCCAUCAAUCGAUUAGUGUCUUUCAGAACACUUCAUUUCAACAAUGUGUCUAUAAAUGGCCACACUUACUAUACUCAAACCUCAAACCUUAAAAGUGAAUAAAGAUGCACAUAUCACAUGAGAUUCUAUCAAGCUAAUGACUGAAAAGCAACACAAUGAAAAUAUAAAAAACUAUAGAAUUGAAGGACCAAAACCAAUGAAACUGCAUGAGUGUUAGUGGGACCAAGCACCACCAUUUCGAAAAGUUCUAAGGUCUAAAGUCUCAGCAAUAAAUGCUAUUUAAACCUACAUGACAUUAAAAAAACGGAUGUGAUAAAACAAAUAAAUAUUCACGAACAUGAUCAAUCAUUCAGAGCGGGAUUCUAAAAUUGAUCACUGAAAUUGUUCGGCCACCCAGCUAUUAGUGAUUAUACAGCCGAGCUAGCUCAUUGCAGUGGGUGGCAUAACCAGCGGUUACAAGUUCUUUUCUCUCAUAUUUGCCUCUCCAUUUUUCAUUUUUUUAUUUCCAAAUAGAUCUACAAUGUUAUUUGAAUUUUAAAAAUAAUAGGUAGGGCACUCCUUACAUACAUGACCUCCUAGGCCAUUUAAAACAAAUAUGCAUUGUUUGGGGUUUUUUAUAUAACAUAAAGUAAGUUAACUAUGACACACUGCCAAAAUAUUUUUGCAUAAAAAACAUUAAAUUUGAUAUAGCACAGAAAGAACGUGGAUAUCCAGCAAGAGAUUAAAGAAGGCAAAGUGGGGCAGGCAGUCAGCAAAACAAAACUAGUGGAUCACGAGUUUCAAACUUUUACUAGCUUUAAGCAACUGAAAUAACUUGCCACUGAACCUAGUGAGCCAACAACUCUAACGUGUAAUAGCAAACAAGUAAUAAUUCUUUUGAAGCUCCAGAAUAAUCAAAACUGAGUCUAGAAUCAAGCUAGAAUGCCCAUUUGAGUUCACUGGUGAUGUUAGAGUGAUACUUAGUUCAAGGAGUAUAUCCAGAUACCCCAAUCAAAAAAAUCAUCUGAAGCCAUGCGAACAAACUGAUGGCACUUCUAGAAUAGUGUCUUUCCACAAAAUUAGUUAGAUAAGCCUAUGUAAUCCCAAAAUUUAUAAAAUGCUCCCGUUCCAUCCAAGAUGAACGUAAACAUUCCUGCACAACGAUUGGCAACAAUCCUCAACCCAACAGCCUUCAUCACCAUCCUAUGAUGCUAUCUAACACUCAAUAGUUCUAGCAAAACCAAAAUCAGAUGGUCUGUUUUGCUCAAUGAAUUACUUAUUAUCAUUACCAACCCGUGUGGCAGGUUGAUAUGGCAUAGACUAAAUAGUAUGAUUCAUAAACAGGCUUAAAAUAAUGCAAUACUGAGUUCUUUACCAAAUCAAGCAUUGGCAUUUCAUGUUCCCUGGGUUUCCAUUCGUUCCAAAAACAAACAACUGUCUUGCUAGAGAAAAUCAUGCUCAGAAUUCAUAUAGUUGUGCUUCAUUUAUGCAAGAAUCAAGACGAUUCAUGAGUUUAGCAAGUAGUUAAGCAUCUAGCAAACUGAUUGAUACUUAAAGCCCCCAUUUUCUUUUUUUCUUUUUUGUCAAAAUUCACUUGUAGCAACGCACAAGCGGAACUAAGCAUUCGAAAGUGUAUAUCCUAUUGAACCAAAAGUUGCAAUCACGAGCUGCUCACUCACCAUCUGUAUCGCAUGAAGUGGCCAUCAACAGGCGCGGCCUCAGGCACGUCGUCGGUGGAGAUUACACCGUUGGGCAGCCGCAGCAGCACGUACGGGGUGAUUUCGCACCCCACGAUCGGGAUCUCCGACGGCAGGUGCACCCGCACCACGCUCAGCAUCCUCCACUCCUGCUCCCCUCCCCUGCUCUCCUCUGCCCAGCCCAGGGGCGGAUCUAGAUGGUGUGCCGGGUGGGCACCGGCACACCCAAAAUUUGUGGACGCUGCGAGGACGGCGGAAGGCCAGGGCGACGUCGGGAGAGGAGGGGAGCGCCGCCGUCAAGGGGACCGGGAGAGCGAGACAGGGUUAGGGUUGGUUGCCUGAGGGUAUUUUUGGGCAUUUCGAAAAUCUAGAGUUGUGUCCAGCGCAUUUUUUUUCUAAACUAGUAUUGCGUAAGCGGGACGGAGUGGUAAUGUUUGUGCAAGACAAGAGAGAGCCGGAGAGGAUGACAUGUUUUUUUUAACGAUAAUAUUAAAAACUAGUCAAAUGUCCAUGGGACAAACUCAUAUGCGAUACUCACCGCAUUUGUAGUUAUAGAUUAAUACCUUUUCAUAGCAGUUUGCAGAGAUGGAACCAUGAAAGGCGUUGCAGACGUAUAAUUCACUCGCUAAAAAAUCCAUAUUGAGAAAAUAAUUAUGUACUUGAUAGACUCGGUCUCACGAAGUUCUGGUAAGAAGCCGGUUCGGAGGGACAAAGUUCCAGAAAGAUGGCCGCAAUGUCACGCACGACCAGGCGAAUUUGUGAUAGUUUUUUUGUUAUGAAAAAGCAAAGUAUAUGUGAUCGGCAUGCGACCUUGUGGAUUGGGGUUGAAAGUGUUGGACUGCAGUGUAUACCUUCAACCCACCACGUCUUGAUUUAAAGGCCAAAUCAACGUAGGAUUCGGACUCCUUAACUAAAUACGAUUAGGAUUCCCUAUCUAUGUCGGAUUUGGUCUCCUAUUCUGUGAUUGGCAAUUGGGAAUUUAGACAUUAAUCCAUAGCUUCUCCAACUCUUUAGUGAUUGAACGUAACGGUUGGUACAAGCUAGGCUGGGCGCGAUGGGCUGAGGCUGAGGCAAACCAACCAUGGACCUCGUACCGUUUAGAUUGAAAAAAGGACAUGUUUUUUUUUGUUUAUCGAUCAGGACGGACAGGCGCACGCACGAGGGUGAGUUGGAGGUUCAGAUCGGUUGGGCUUAGUGGAAGUUUUAAUGAAAAAGGCCUACGGACGUUCGCCAUCACCACCGAUUGUAAUAUAAUAGACAUUGUAGAUUAGUUAUGAUUUGGACCACCGGGCACCGGAACCCAAGCUGCUCAAUUUUGGCAAAAUUUGCAGAAAGCAAACUCAAACCCGAUGGCUCCUAUGUAGAUGGGAGUGAACUCAGAGUAUUCUCAUCGUGUUGCUACAAAGCUUUUCUUUGAUGAUGUUCCCUCCGUUGUGUUUCCCUUGCGUGCUCAAGGACACAAUGUUGUGAUUGAGGAAAUUGUUGAUGACCCUAGCUCUGCCAUCUUCCGUCCGUAAGUGAGGGCACAAGCAGCGCGUUGCUACUCCAGAAGUAACUUCAGGUCUGUGCCAUAGUUCAUGCUCUACCAUGUUUAGAGGAUUCAAGUCCUAGCUUGUUUCUGAUGUGCAGAAGAAACAGUCCAAGUGUCGAUGUUAUACAUUGUCAGAAUAUGAUUCGGGAUAGCACACGACCAAGGAUUACUACUACUCUUGAUGGCAACAGUCUACGUGUUUAUCAUUUGUUGGAACUCCAAGCACAAAGUGAUGUAACAAAGGGUGUUUUCCCCCACAAGUGUUUUACCCCCAACAAGCACCACAAUGGUUGUCAAUCACAAUGAUCACUAUACAGAAUCACUUAUUUCUGACGCGUUAAAAAACUUCUAGUCUGACGCAAAUGGGACGUGUCACUAAUCAAGUGUCAAAGAUGACUCGGGAACUUCUGACGUGUCAACAAGCGUCAGAAGUAGGAAACCCUAAUGACGCUUCUUGUCGAUUGUUAUUAGAGACAAGUAUCCUCAUGUCGGGUGAAGGCCAUGUUUGUUUGAGCUUCUGCUUCAGCUUUUGGUGGUUCUAGCUCUCUAAAAAGCACUGCUUCCGUUUACACAUGAAGCUGAGAAGCACGUCGUGAGGUGCUUCCCUCCAGAAGCUGCAGGAAGCACCUCCAGACGUGCUUCUCAGCUUCAUGUGUAAACGGGAGAAAUGCUUUUUAGAGGGCUAGAAGCAGCAAAAGCUGAAGAAAAAGAAAAAGCCCAAACAAACAGGGCCGAAGAUGAGUAAGAAGAUAGAGGGGCCUCACGGUGAUAUCUACUCGUGUAAGAUAGAGAACUCGGCGAAAGACAAGGGUUUAUACCGGUUUGACUUGCUCCUUUUCGUGAAAGCAAGCCUACGUCAUGUUGGUAAUCUAAUAUUUGUGUAUGAUAUUACAAGGUGUGUUCUGCCCAUCGAGGGCGCCUAGCCCGCUUUAUAUAGUCAAACAACUAGGGUUUCGGGUAGAGCCGGGUACAACUUUUACAUGGACUGUACCUUCCUAAACUAGUUAGGAUUCUUCCUUUACAAGAUAUCUACAACUAGUAUUUCCUAUUACCUGAACUAGGCUUCCUUCUUCAAUACGACAACUUCCUUGACCGAGUGAUAGGGGAUGUCUGGCUUGUGCGCUGAGUCGACUUUCUCUGUUCAGUCGUCUCUCAGCUACCCGGCUAGAAUAUCCUCGUCAUUAGCCCCGAGUACAAUGUGGAUAGGGGGGAGCUGAAUAAUGCCAUCGUCGUCAAUCUCGAAUCUUUCUCGUUUCAUGUGCUUUUCUUGAGUUGCUUCUUCUUGAUUUUAUUCCGACCUCAAAUCCACAAUGUACUUCUCUAUGACAGCUUGAGGUUCGAGCUCAUGGCUUCUUAUGCAUAAAGUUCAGCUAUAAGAGCAAACCAGCUUCUAUGUGGCAUGUGUUAGCAUUGCAGCGAUAUUAGCUCCUGUUUUGAUUUGUGUUUUUUCCUUAGCUGUAGCGUUGCUUUGAAUUAAUUAGCAACUACGUCGUGCAUGUAAAAAAAAGUGAGUUCCAACAAAUCUCUGACGUGCGCUAGAACAAGAGGUCAGUGAGCAUCAAAAGUAUACUGACGUGGCGACACAAGGAAGAGCUAGGAAAUUCCUCGUGAACAAAGUUGACGCUUCCACAAAGGAAAGAGUCACAUCAGCUAGAAUCUCCUUCGACGCUUACGAAGUAAGGAAGCGUCAGUAGAAAUGAAGAGUCAGAAGUGUGGAAGUUCUCCUACGCUUCUCCGAGGUAGGUGUCAGAAAUAUCUUAUUGACGCUGCCUCGUGGAUGCUACCUAUGACAGUCCUUAUAAGGAGCCGCAGAGAUAAGGAUUUGCGCUGACGCUUUUUAGUUUUGUGUCAGUGGGGAGCUUGCAAGAGUAAAGUCUAUAGUAGUGAGUGUAAGGCUAAACUUUAAAUAAACAAAUAAUAACUUUAAGUAAACUAAUGCAAAACAAUAAUUUAAACUAACUAGAAGAUGCAAUAACUAUAUAAUAAAUACUACUACUUAUUAUGCAACUAAAUAACCAAGAGAGAAUGUUUAAAUGGCUUUUUACAAGAUAUCUAAAAAAAAGCAAUUAAAUAAAUGCAAAAUAAUUGUAACAGAGGUGUUUCUUAUGAUAUUAAAGAGGACCAGGAUACUCUUUGCGGCAUGAAUAUAGCACAUAGGACAAGUUCAUUUACUUUGCAAUGUUUUUAUGAAGUGAAUGAUAAGCAUUCAUAUGGACAUCACGUCCUAAUAUUGAGAAUAUGCAAAAUAUCUCACUAAUGCUCCCUUGGUAAGUGACUCAUCAAACUAGAUUAUUGCUUUAGGUACUUUGACAUGAUGUUGAACUUUAAUGCAACUUUGAGCAAGCAAGACCACCAUUGUUGUCAUUUGGUAGCAUAAUGCGUAUUCAUUUAUCCCUAGCGGGUCAAAUCACUGAAAGGUGAAAAUCAUAGUGGUUCCCAAAAUUUUUGUCACUAUCCGGUUGCCACUACCAAUUGCUCUAUCUAAUACACACAUCCCCACACAUGCACAUGUAAACUAGUAUGAUUAGUACAAGUAAGCAAGAAGGGAUAGACAUAUGCAUCUAUCAAUACAUCAAAACACAAUCCAAACAUUGCAAACUCAUGACUCAUCUCAUAACAAAAGGUUCACCAAUAAAAAAUAUAACGAUGAUCAUAAUCAUGAUAGGAAACUCGUAUGAUUCUAUUACAACCCAUAGCCCAGCGAGGACUACUCCCUCAUCAUAUUGGUGAUGAUAGAGAAUAUGUUCAAGGAGAAGGAGAGGCGACCGAUGGUAUUUUCCCUUCUAAUCUUGGAUCAAUCUGAUGUUGUUUUUUUUCUUUCCGAGUCGUUGUGCUAUGCAAGCGCAAAGCACGGGGUAUUAAUAAAUGGUUUUAGGUCAAGACGAAUCUUCGGGUGAAAGAAUGCACUUGCGGGCGGCCACUCGGGAUAAAAAACAACCAUGGUGAAUUAUGAUAAUCUAGUUUUUUCGACUACUACCUCUGAUCCUAAAUUGUUGUCGUGGUUUUACUUCAAAUUUGUACUAAAACCACGACAAGAAUUAAGGAUCCGAGAGGUAGUUUUUACCUAUUUUUCAAUUCGGCUUACCUAUUAUUUUCUAAUUUUCUUUGUAUGUUUUGACAAAUUCAGCACACUUCAGCAACCCAAACUGAACAUUAGUCCCGUACAGGAUUCCAGAGUGCGUUGUACGCAUGUGUUAGUAUAUUCCUAAGCAAGCAAGAAAAAAAUAAAAAGAAGCAAAUAGUAGCAACUAUCGGUUGAUCCCGGCCCUGGGCCAGGACAAGAAGGGCGACAGCCCGGGCCCGCCCAAUCCAGGGGACCAGAUCAUAUGUGUAUACGCUAGUAGAGAUACAUGUCCAAAUAUUGAUUAGCAUAAAAGAAAGAGGAAAAAAGCUAGAGGCCCAGCAGAUUGCUCCGCUCCUGGCCAACCCAGGACGUAUCAACGUGCUCGAAAAUUCCCCUUGGCACCCGGUAUCCAGGCCUAUGUGUAUCUCAGCCGACCAAUUUUCCAUCCUACGGCUCCAUCCUGCAGCUCCUGUCGUCCGGCCCGUUUAAGUAUACAAUUUGCUAUUCUCCCGUACAGGCGGUAUUUGCACCGGUUGGCCUGACACAUCCUUUUUUAUAUUGCGUUUCCCAGGCUGGCUGGCCCAAGUCCCACCUCGCGCAUUGCUGGGUGAGCACAAGUCCUUUUCUCCCGCUGCAUACCGUGGCACAGGUCUGCCCUUGAGACAUCGCAUUAAAUUUCCAUCAGUCCCAUUUUUUUGGCCCAAGAUUUCUGGGCAGGCACAGGUCCACGCCAUUGGGGGGGCGGUGGCGCGGCUGGCGAGGCCGACGUCGCGGCUGUCGAGGGUGCCUGCCACGGGCGAUGAGUCACCGAGUCAGGCUUCGGUGCCCAGAGCUGAAAAGCGUGCCGCGGUAGACGAUGUUGGGCGCCUUAAUGCCGUGCUCGGACACGAUUCGGUCGGGGACGAAGCUGUCAGUUCCCGCGCAUAGCUCAUCAAGGCUGUACUCUGUGAUCAUCGGCACAGCACUGUCGUCUUCCCCAGUUUCCCCAUUCUCUAUUUCUCUACACAGGGAAAGCAAACAGCAAGGGGAAGAGCAUCCAUCCUGUAAAGCAACGAGCUGCCGGCGAUGGCCUUCUCCACGACCGCGGAGCAACGCAGCGCCGUCCCCGUGCCUUCGCUGGAUGCCCGCUCGCAGCUCCGUGAUGGACCGCUUCCGCACGAGCACCGCCCGCCCGAACGGGUCGUGCGCGUCGGCAAGCGCGAGGGCCGAGGGACACGUUGAGGUGGCCAAAGGCCGGGUCGCUAGGGAAGAACUCCGAGCUGCAGACCGGGGGCGCGGGGCAGGGACGGAUGUUCGGGCAUCGGCCGGACCUCCUCCGUUGGCAGCUUCCGCAGGCGAGGAAAACUUGAGGGGCAACGGCAGAUAUUUGGGAUUUGACGUGGGUAUUGGUGCUCCGAUCUUUCCAUCAGAUUGAUAACUCUCGAUUUGGGUUGAAGAUGACGUUUGACGAUCCGACUACGGUCUAAAAGACAGCGCCUUAGUAAUCAAUACACCAACUACAGAGAGUUAUUGAUCACGCGGGGCACGAUCAACCUGACCACGAAGGUUUUUAUUCCUGCAAGCAAUCGAAAAACAAGCAAGACCAAGAUAAAUAGUGGAUGCAAUCUGAAAUUGCGAAUAUACUAUAUCAAACCAAUGUCUCAAUGAGACGAUAAGUUGGGAUUUCGAAAGUGGUAAAGCAGGUGGUCUAGCCGACAUAGACGAUUACACGAAGUUGUAGCGAUGGCUAACUUUUAACUAAACAAAACCCAAGUCUCCAUAGGGAGGCUAGUGGGGUAUAUAAAAGAGGAGGGAGAGAGAUUUUCGCCCACCUUGAGUAAGGAGGCCGAAAUCCAAAUCUAUUUCUAACUUUUCUAACAAACUAUAACUCUUUAGGAAACAAAAAAACAGAUCCGUCAUCUUGUUUUGUCUGCCACGGCCAGCACGCGUCGAAUCUCCUUGUGGGGUCAAAUCUGUUGGAAAGGUCUUGUAAUUACCUUUCCAACAAGUACUUGUUUGCUUGAUUUGGACUCUGAAUGCGGUCUGGGUGAUUAAAACAAAUUCGGAUCUCCUGACAGCUCGGACCCGAAUCGGAUUCAACUUUAAUUCGUGAUAUCUUUCACUAGCAAGCUCCGAACCAUGUGCCGUUCGAUUUGUUGGAAAGUAGACUUGAUAGGCUUCACCUUGCAUCUCCCGUUGCAUGCUAUCGCACCUCAUCUUCACUUUGGAUUUGAAAAGCUCGACCAAAUAUCUACAUAAUAAAAUGAUACAAGAUAGUAGCUCUGCCUCUUCAUGCAUAUGGCAUUGAAAACAAAUAGUACUUGACUUCACCUGAUUAUAAAAUGUUAUCGAAUACUCUAGAACUGAGGGUGCCAAAGGUUGUAUCUAUGGUUAGCAUGUCCAUAUCAUCUUCCCUUUCUUGAAACAAAAGCCGUCCUCGGUGUCGUUUGUGCUGAAAAGAGACUGACAAAACAGACAAAGUGUGUGCAUGGGUAUAUGUACAUGUCAUCCAUCUUUAUACAUCUCCUUUCUUGCACAAUUAAUGUUUUAUAAAAAAAUCUCAUGAGAUAAGUAGUCAAACAAUCAUCAUGAAUUACAUUCCAGCAAGAAGAUUGACAAUAUGUUUUGCAUAUAUAAGUGAAACAAUAUCUUAUACUAGUAAAAAGCCCGUGCUUUGCUACGGAAGAAGACUUUCUUUUAAAAACAUGCUAUAGGUUAAUUUUCAAAUAGUCGGCUGACUUGGGCUUGCGGGGCUGCGGCUUGGGCUGAAAGGUGGAGAUGGGGUUGGUGGGCCUGAAGGGGGCUCGGGGUUGCUGGGUUGCUGUGGGAUCGAGGCAGCGGGGAGGUUGAAGGCACGGGAGCAAGGGGAGGCAGUGCCGGCGAGGUGGACGAUGGGAGCAGCACGCGAGGGUGCUGGGCUGCCACGGUGACUGGAGCUUGGCGACAACGUUGGCGGAUUGCAGCAGCGAGGGAGAGGAGAAGAGGGCGCAACGAGUAAUGAAGGCAGGAGCGCCAGAGAGAGGAGGCGGCUAGACAGAGGAGAUCGGGAGGGAGAAAGGAGCUCGAGGGGAAAGAUGAAGGAGCAUAGGGGAUAUCGGGGAGGACCGGCUGCCUGGUUGGGUGGACGGGCAGGACAAGAAAAGGGGACGAGAGCGAGAGGGAUAGGGUUCGAGGAAGCCCGCAGAGGUUAGGGCUCGGGGGUCAGACGGAUGUUUUUCGGGACUGGGGAUAUGCAGUGGCAUAUUGAGCGUAAUUUUAAUGGAGUGACGUACCGCGACACCUGUACCAUCACCACCAACUCCAAUUUAAUAUAUUUGUAUAGAUUUAGUUUGCACCGCUCACCAUUAUACCAUCCCAACACUGGAGAAUAAUAAUUAAUGGUACCCAAAUUAGUUACUACAAGAUGCUGAAAUUUAGAGCAAGUCAAAGCAGUAAUAUUCAAACAAUCGUGUAAACAACUAUUUGGCAAAUAAUCAACACCAAUAUUGGAGAUCAUAUCAAAAUAGUUAAGCAUAUGCAAGAAUUUAUUUUCUCCCAAGAUAGUAAAAUUAUCACAAGUAAUACAAAUUUCAUGUACCAAAAAGUUAUUAUUCACAUCAUGUUCUCCAAUUAGUUGAAUAGUGGAUCCAUGAACAUUAGGAAAAGAUUUUGAAAUUGUUAACUUGGACACUUUUUCCAUUGCAUAUGAUAAAUACAUAUGUGUAUCAAGUGUAAUAUAACACAAAGAAUUAAUAGGUGGAUCCUUAUGAAUCACUCCAUGUCUAAUUAACUCGACACAACCUAAGCCAAAUUUAUCUAUCUCACAUGUUUCUCCCAAAGCAUUAGUUCUGUCCUGACAUGAUUCAUGCUCAUCAAUAUCAAAAUUAAUAUGUGCACUAAAAUCAUUAGAAAAAUUAAUUUCAGCACUAGGUGUACUCAAAUCAGCAUGUAAAUCAACAAUUUCACAUGGUGCAGAAAAUUCACCGAGUAUCUCAUUUAUUUCAUCACAUGUCAUAUUUAGUUCAGGAACACAAUCAUCUUUACCAUUACCUUGUGGUCUCGACUCAUUUGUAGUAGACCUUCACUGUAAUUUCCUCUCAACUUCACGAGCAAGAUUAAGCAAACACAAAAAAGAGUCGUAUUUUCCAUAUUCAAUUAUGUAAGAAAUAUCAAAGUUAAGCCCACAAUAAAACCUAUCCAUUUUUGUUUGUUCGGUUUCAUCUAAACCAGAUCGCAAGGUUAGAAUUUGGAACUCCUGAUAGUAAUCAUCAACAGUUUUAUCAUCUUGUUUCAAACGUCGUACUUUUGCACGCAAGUUACAAGCAUAACUAAAAGGGACAUAUUUUUCUCUCAUGAUUUUCUUCAUAUCAACCCAAGUGUGAGGAAUUUUCUUUUCUCUAACUAUCUCACUCCACCAAGAUAAAGCAGCAAAAGUAAAUUUACUACUAGCAAUUUGGAACUUGCGACUAUCAAGUACAUGGAAGCAUGUGAAUUGUUCAGUUAAAGCUAUCUCCCAAUCUAUAUACGUUUCAGCAUCAUUUUCCCCCUUAAAGAAAGGUACACACAAUUUAAUUGUAUUGGAAGGAUUGUUUCGUACCGUUGCCGUCGCAUUGUCAACAAAAGACGUGGAGGAUGGCCAUGGUGAAAAGCACUCAUCGCGGUCACGGGAUUGCAUCGGUCUAGUUCCCAUGCUUCGUGUAAGUCCUGUCAUUGUUAGUAGAAAACAAGAAACAAAUCACAGUAAUAUGUUCCUAUCAACUAAUAGGAUGUGGCUACAAGUCGUUCAACUCUCAAGCUAAAAAUCAAGUUCUUACAAGUUCUUACCAUGCAACAAGAAGGUGAUGGCCAGCGGCUUGACCAAGCCCCUCCGAGGAUUAAAUGUAUCAAUGCCUCGGUAACAAACCAACCUAGGUGUAGAAUCUGUGUAGCUUGGAAGCUUUUGUGAGUAGCAAGGAAUAGCAAAUAAUCAAACAGCAAUGCAAAGUUGAAAAUAUGCUAAAUAAUGCUAGUCCUAACUGCUGGAGUCGAUAAUAACGAAUUACAGAAAUAAUCUAAGCCUAGAUAGUGAAGAAGGUAGGAUAGAAAGAUCAAAAUAAAGGUAAAACAACUAAAUCUCUAGGAUUUUUCUUUUCUUUUAUUUAUUUAUUUAUUUAUUUUUGUGGCCUUCUGUUUGGCUUCUUAUUCUUUUCUUCUUUUUUUAUUUUUUUAAUCCCAGAAACUCAUGCAAAAGAAGUAAAGACCGGAAAACUGCACGUCGGUCUGUCGAAGAACAGCAAAGGGUGCUGUAAGAAAAUGUCAGAAAAAUAUGGAAAAAUAUAGGUUAGGAGCGUAUCGAAACAAGCUUUCCAGGAAGUGCAAGAUCACUCAAAUCGGAGGCCGGACGAUGGAGAUAACGUAAAAACACCGGCCUGCAGCGAUGCCGGAAACCGGAUGCAGAAACUUGGAAGCUCUGAAAGUCCACCUUACAAACCGAGUUUGAGGGUCAAGGAGUCAGUGCGAUGCCCUGGAUAUUUUCUCGUGCGCUUCGUCAUGAGCUUUCCAGAAAGUACUAGAAGGUCCAAAUCUGAGUUGGUGACCGUUUUACUGAACACGGGUCAAACCCACUCGAAACUAUAAUUCUCCUGAACGUGGAUCUGAAACUGAUUCUUUUUCUCUCUCUUUUUUUUCAUUUUUUUUCCUUUUUUUUCCUUCCUUUUCUUUGCUUUUUUUUCACAACUUUCCGAACAACUUGAUCUCUAAACAAAAUUCGAUCUAUUAUGAAACACUUUCCAAAAGCACUCUCGAUUGGACUCGGACUCGAACCCGGAGAAGGACUCGGUGUAUGACUCGAUGGAAGAUUAUGGCGUGGCGGUGGUGUGGCAGGGAGUUUGGCGGCAGAAAAUUGAGGAAGGAAACCUGCGUCACACGAAGAACAAGAAAACCAAAAGCAAGUUCGAUCUAGUAGAAAAAGUCUGAAAAACGAUCCAAUCUAAUCCAGCAACUCGACACGAUUAAUGCAGCAAAGGUUCAACAAUGCAAAUACUAAUGUGAAAAUUGCAAGGCUCAGAUUGGUUUUUGGGACGAAGGUAAGUAAUCUCUACUUUUUUAUUGUCUUUUUCUGGACUAUAGGUAAAACAUAUCUAAACUAUGGAAAAAUACCACGUGAUGUGGGUCGGGGUGGCCCGAUAUUUCGAUGAGAUUGAUAACUCUCGAUUUGGGUAGGAGGUGACGUUGACGAUCCGACUACGGCCUUGAAAGCAGCGUCUUAGCAAUCGAUACACCAACUCCAGAGGGUUAUUGAUCACGCGGGGGCACGAUCAACCUGACCACAAAGGUCUUUGUUCCUACAAGCAAACGAAGAACAAGCAAGAACAAGAUAAAUAUCGGAUGCAAUCUGAAAUUGCGAAUAUACUAUAUCAAACCAAUGUCUCAACGAGACGAUAAGUUGGGGUUCCGAAAGCGGUAAAGCAGGUGGUCUAGCCGACACACGCGAUUACACGAAGUUGUAGCGAUGGCUAACUUUUAACUAAACAAACCCAAGUCUUCAUAGGGGGGCUAGUGGGGUAUAUAAAGGAGGAGGGAGAGAGAUUUUCGUCCACCUUGAGUAAGGAGGCCGAAAUCCAACUGUAUCUCUAACUUUCCUAACAAACUACAACUCUUUAGGAAACGGAAAAACAGAUCCGUCAGCUUGUUUUGUCCGCCACGGCCAGCACGCGUCGAAUCUCUUGUGGGGCCAGAUCUUUUGGAAAGUUCUUGUAAUUACCUUUCCAACAAGUACUUGUUUGCUUGAUUUGAACUCCGAAUGCGGCCUGGGUUAUUAAAACAAAUUCGGGUCUCCUGACAGCUCGGACCCGAAUCGGAUUCAACUUUAAUUCGUGAUAUCUUUCUCUAGCAAGGUCCGAAUCAUGUGCUGUUCGAUUUGUUGGAAAGUAGACUUGAUAGGCUUCACCUUGCAUCUCCCGUUGCAUGCUAUCGCACCUCAUCUUCACUUUGGACUGGAAAAGCUCGAUCAAAUACUUACAUAAUAAAAUGAUACAAGAUAGUAGCUUUGCCUCUUCAUGCAUAUGACAUUGGAAACAAAUAGUACUUGACUUCACCUGAUUAUAAAUAUUAUCGAAUACUCUAGAAUUGAGGGUGCCAAAGGUCGUAUCCAUGGUUAGCAUGUACAUACCAGGCUUGCAGUACGAUGCCCGGAGCUGGGGGAGAUGGCGCUGCACAUGUCGUAUCUGAAGGAGGCGGCGAUUGAGGUGAAGAAGACGGUGGGGGAUGAGACGGUGACAGAUGGGGAAGAGAGGUAGAUGAGGGCGAUGAAGGGAAUAUGCCCUAGAGGCAAUAAUAUUGUAUUAUUAUAUUCCCAAGUUUGUAAUUGAUGUUUAUAUUUCUAUGCUAUAAUUGCAAUGGUUCUUGAACGUGAGAUUCGGAGGAAAACUCAUUUGCAUGUGUGGAAACAUAAACCCUAAUUUAAAGGUCCCUAGUCACGCCUCUUUGACUAGCUUAUAUAUAAUUGAUGAUUCUGUUUUCCUGAUCAUGAGCAUACGAUGCUGGUUAUAUAUGAGAGCACAUUGUUGGUUGAACAAUGGUGUUGGAUUGACCCAACUAAUGAUAUACCGAGAGAUCACAUCGAUUACUUGUUAUCGGUAUUAUUGUUAUUGUUGUAAUUAUCAUUAUCCUUAGACCAUGAAAAUAUCGUAUGAUAUUUAUAUCGGAAGGAUAAUUUGGGUGUUACUUAUUGUUUCCCGUAAUAGGGUUAUCAUGACGGUGAUUUCCGGGUACUCCGGAAAGUACGAAUUGAUUCGAUAGUUCAAGAUUGGGAUUUGCUCCUCUAUCGGUGGAGAGAUACACUAGGGCCCACUCGGUACGAAGAUAUCUAUCACCGUCUGGCCAGACACAAGAAUGAUAUGAUCAUUGAGAUAUCGGAGUACGGAAUGAGUUAAAAGUACAAAACCGGUAACGGGGAUAGCUAGGUACAAGUGGAACAAGGGUUGGUUCACGGGCGUACCGGAAGUCUCACCCCGGGUUUUGUAAACGUAUCGUGAAGCAAAGGGAAAUGGUUUUUAGUAACAAAUGGUUCACUUGAAAGUCUUCGUGUAUGUGUAGUAAUUAUUGAGAGUGUCCAGGCUCUUUAAAUAAUUAUUGACUGGGUCAUAGCUACACAUUUCCCAACCUAGGCGGUCAGACGCUUAACGACGAAUGGUUAUUUGAAGGUCUAAAGUUUGGAAUUUGGUCAAGAGUUGAAUACUGAAGUUGUUCAGAAUGACGAGACAUAUUUUAUGGAGGUCCUAAAUGUGAUUUAGGAGUUACAGAAAUAUUCGGAGUAAUCAUGAGUGCUUCCGGAAGGUUUUAGAAGCCUCUAGAAGGAUCCGAUGGAAAUUCCGGAAGGUCAAAUGGCAAAAGGUCAAAAGUCAAAGGUGGGUCAAACCCUGGUCAAAGGUUGACCAUGGGGGCCAGCCAUCUUGGUUUGGAGAAGGGGUUAUAAGACUCCUAUUAGGAGUUCAUAUCUAUUCCUAUUAGAGGUAGGCGUGCUACUCUUUUUGGAGGAGGACUCUUUUCGUCCUUUGGCCGGACGCCCUCCUAUAUAAGGAGGGGAGGGGUGGCCGGUUAUAGGGGCACUCUCGCUAGUUGUCCUUUGCCCGUCAAGUUCGAGCUCUCUCAUCUAAAGUUUAGACGUCUAAUUAGUAAAUCGUCUACUUUCCGAUCUAGUUUCUUCCAGCGGUUCUUCGUACUGGACGUGAAAGUGCUGCUGAACUAUUCCUCCGGGACGUGUGGAUACGUGUGGAGAGAUCGCCCACUUCGAUCUUGCAGGCGGAUCGCUGUUCGUCUACUUCAAGCUUUCAGGCGCAGCAGAUCGUGCGAGGAAUAUUCUCACGGCUGGGCGGUAUAACCUAACUGCGGGAAUCUGCUACAGGCUUCAACGACAAUCUAUUUCCGCUAUGGUUUUUUGGUAGAUGAUCAAUCUAUCGCAUCCGCAUAGUGAUCUUGAUUGGUUCGUUCGUAGGAAAAUUUUAAUUUUCUGCCUACGUUCCCUUUCAGGCGAAUGGAGGCGGUGGAGGGACCCGAGACGUGGGGUGGGCGGCCUGCUGUGCGUAUUUUAUUUAUUUUCUUUACUACUACUACUACUUAAGCCACAGUUAUGUCCGUGGUUUACCGUAAGUCCUCCCACCCCCCACAGAAAAAAAAGUCCUGAAAAAAUCCGGUCCCCCCACCCCUUCUGAGGAAACAUUCGCCCAGAAGGAAAUAUUCAAUCAACCAUCAAUUGAUUGAGUUCAAAAGAUGACCCAACGCAUUAGGCAACUCUUGGAGAGAUUUCAGGAGAGUAUGGAAAGAUUGUUAGGAGUUGGCCGAGUUGUGGGAGUGAUUUCAGGAAAGGACAUCUUGGUUAGUUGCACGUAUAGCGUGAGUUUAGGGGCUAACGGUCUGAGAUUGGCUGUUAUUUAUGGCAUGCUUUGUAAUCUUGUUUUUGGAAACAGAAAGAGGAAUAGGAAAGGAGAAAAUCUCGGGCUGUGAGAGGCAGCCUCGAGGCCCAAACCUUGCCUUCCUUAUGUUCGUGGUGUUGCCAAGAAAAGAGAUAUCGUGAGAGAGGGAGCUGCAGCGACAGAGAAGAAGAACUGGAGUUGCAGAUUCCUGCCGCGGCAGGAAAUAUUCUGCCGCGGAAGAAAAUCUGCAGGCUGGAGCUGCGUGAGGUAGACGGGGAAGAAGAAGGGGAGCAGCAGCGGCUAGCUGCUCCAACAUAGCCUUAUCAGUUGCCGGGUAUUAACUGGACAAUUCCUAAUCAUGCUUCAUGAAACGGUGCUAAAACAUUGUCCUGUGUCGCAAGUCCCAACAAUCCUAAUGGAUUUCAUUCUGCCGAGUCAUUAAAGGUCUGUGCUUGUUACUCCUAAUUCUGAUCAUAGUUAUUGUAACGUGCUUCUAUCUAGAAGCCGAUGUACACCUAUCAUGUUUGUCAGUUAUAACUUUGUAUGCUUUAAGAAGAUCUAUUUUGUACUUUGGGCUAGGUAUUUUCUACUUCGUAUGCUUCAAGGAAGGUAACUGACUGAGAUGAGAUGCAUAGUUGUUGCCAGAGAGAAGGGACGUUAGCACGUGGCAAACGUGGUUAGCAAUAAAAAUGCAAUCAGAGAGAAGGGAAGUUGGAGAAUGAAACAAAUAUUUAUUGUGAUAGGUUAAAAGUUAUACACAAUUAGUGUACAUAUUUAUUUUUAUUUAUUUAUUAUUUUUCGUUGCAACGCACGGGUACUUUGGCUAGUAUAUUUAUUUGGAGAACAUCCGUAUUUUAUUUGGUGGGCGAUGGAACAAGACAGACAUGUACCAUGCCUUCUUGGUUUUGAGUUGGUCCAGAAACAUCUCACAAAUGGUCCAACAACCCAACACAAAUGACCUAGUAUUACUCACUGUUCUAUACCAAUAGUGGGCCAAAAAGCGGAAAUUCCAUUUGGGUCCUGGGACCCCCUCCCUAUCUCCAUCAUUCCGCCGAUGUUUGAUGUUUGCUUUUAGACCCUGUUUGUUUGGGCCCUGAUGGUCGCCCUUUGCGUAUUUGUGAAAUCAUAGGUGAUGUGUAACAUUGGUAAGUAUUUUAGAUGAAACAUUGAUGUGGAUACUUUGGCUAAUAUGGAUUGACGAAGAUGUAACUUCGACAAUGUCCAUAUUGAUGGACUUGUAUCAAGGAAAGAGGAGUGUGUGUUGGCGAACUCGUCGGCUAACAAGGACACAGGGGACACGAUUUACCCAGGUUCAGAGCCCUCGAUGAGGUAAUACCCCUACGUCCUGCUUGUCGGAUCUGUAUUGAUGAGUCGAUUACAAUAGGGUGCCGCAGAGUCUAGACGCACCGAGUCGUCGAGUGCGUCCAGGCGACUUGUAUCUAAGCUCGGGGGGUGUCCUCUUGGCUCCCCCUCCUGGUCCUUUAUAUAUGCAGGAACUCACAUCCGAGGUAGAGUCCAAGUAGGUUACAAUGAAAAGACAUACUCUAAUUAUUCUUCCUUAUCUUGAGUCGCAAGAUUUGGCAUGUAAACUCCUGGAGUCGAAGUAGGCUUCCUUGUGGGCCCCUAGCUGGGCUGUAUCGGGUAUACUCGAGUCGAGUACGUGGUUAGUCAUAACCACGUCAUGGAUACUUAUGUGAUGACAUGUAUCUUGUUUGGACUUAGUGGUUUGCUAUUGGUGUGUUGAUCCAUUAGUUUCUUAUGUAAAAACAUGGCGUGAGUUGUGUUGAAACUUACCUUGAGUGAAGUCGUGGACUUGUGCUCGUACUGGUUAUUUGUGUGUUCACUUUCAGGUGUUGCCGGAGCUAGAAGAACAUGGUCGGUGAUGGGAUCGAGGGACGAAGCUUGGGAGAAGCUGAGGUCAAGGGAUCAAAGUCAUGCGAGACGUUCAUGUGAAGGAACAAUGGAAGUGAAAUAUACGAUGAUUCGGGAGGGCACCGGUUUGUCGUAUGUUGUUUAUACCGGAGAUGUAUGGUAUUGUAGAUAUUUGACACGUGAUGGUCGAGUUUUGAAGACAUCACAAGAAGAGUCAAGGAGUCCAAACAAGACCAGAUGUUCCCUAUUGUUAUCGGGAACGAGACUAAAUGUUCGGCCUUAAUGAGAUGGACCUUGAUUCCUCUCCGGCCAGGAAAAGAUGCGGCUCCUCUUUGUUUUGUUCUACUACCUUCAUCCUCGGGUGAAGCCGGUUGGCUCACCAAACAAGAGGCCUACUGUUAAAUCAUUGGUAACCAUGCCUAACGGUCGGUCCUCUAAGCUAUCGGCCAAGGCAAGUGAGAGCUGUUCAAGAGUUGGGGGCAUAUCUUUAGCUCGAGUAGCAUUCGCUCCCAAAAUGUGUGGCAUCGACGUGAAGACAUGUAGGUCCAGCCGUGGCUGGAUGAGAGCUGUUUAAAGACUAAACAAUAGUGUCAUGAAUAUGGCGUCCGAUGGAAAAGUGGUCCAUAUGGAAGUUGUGCGCGUCGUGACGCUGUGUGAAUGCUUUCUUUUGGCCUACGGGCUCCUACCUCCACAUCGCGUGCUUCGUGACGCUGUGUGAAUGCUUUCUUGGAAUAAAUCCCCAUAUGGGUCUUUGGAAGAGAAUGUUCACCAUCAAGCGCCAAGGCAAGGAUGCGAUUGGAUGGGUGAAUAUUCAAACUCAUGCGGAUGCCAAAUUCUUCAACCUCCGAGAGAGGGCAUCAUCUUCUCGAUGGAAAUCGAGGUGGUUCUUUGUCAUGGAUGUGCCGGCCGAAGGACGCGACUUCAGUCUUCCCGAAUUCUCCGUGACCACGUCGGUGAAGAAGACGAUGGCCUGGAGUCAUAAAUUGGGAGGAACAGAGGGUGAAGAAGCCGAGACUCUAUUGGCCCGAGUUCUGUCUCUCAUGGAGACUCCUCAGUUGAAGGUGACUAGAAUUCACCUCAUUGCCGCUUUUAUCCGGAGAAGAAUUCAGCCUCUGCAGGCUCGUGCUCAUCCCAUGUGGGCAUAUCGGGGGGGUUCAUGACUCGACCCGAUUUAGUACCGAGGAAUUUCGUUCGACUGAAGUGUGUCGACGAGUUCGGCGACUUACUAACUUGGACGAGUCGGAGCCCUGCGAGAUUGACCCUCCAGUGGCUCCCUAUGGGCCUGACAGGUCCCUAGAAAAGAUGACCACCGAAGCGUCUGACAAGCCCUGCUGUUUUUUGGCAUGAAUUAUUUCUGAUCAUGGUUUUGAUUUUAGGGACCCGAUAAUGAUCUAAGCGGCGCUUCCCCACCGGCAAAGAAGCGCGGCAGAGGAAAAUGACUUGUCGGUACAGACCCAAAUGAUAAGCUUGAGGGACCCGAACGUCGGGCCGUCAGUGUCUGUACCUGCGCUCAAGAGAACCAAGUCCGACGGGCCAAUCGCGACUCUCGCUUUGGUCUUUUUGCAUGACUCAACCGUGCCAGGUGAAUCUUUUAGCCAUCUUACUUCAGUAUCCUAGAGAUUUUGACUGAACCUCUAAAAACUUCUUGAUUAGCCAUACUAGUGGCUCAGUUGAGAGCAAAAAGGCUCCCUGGACUCAAUCGACUGGUCAGGACUUGAAAGGGUCGGACCAGCCGACUAAACAAAAGACAGCCCAUACCAAGGAGGCUUCGGCGGCUAAUCCGAGCAGAGGAAGUCGACCAGAUGAGUCGAGCGUUCCUCAGGCGACGGUUCCUGCGUCGAGUCGACACGUGAGCAAAUUUGUCAUUUGCUAUUACCUGCCUCCCGGUGGGAGUGACACUCAAGAAAUGACUUGAGAUUGCUUUUUUGUUUGUAGCCAAUCAUCCGCUCCAUGGCAACUCUUAUUGAAGAGUUUGAGGAGACGAAAGCAGAUCGGGAGCGACUUCGAGAAGAGCUGAGUCAAUGAAGCGAUCCUCCCCCUUACAAGGGUUCGAUCUCUGUGCUUACCGUGCUAGUCCCUGGAUCGACUCACUAGCACACACAGUUUCAUGAUGAAAUAUACAGAAACAAAGGUCAAAAGUACUUUAUUACAUCGCAUCAUUCAGAAUUUAAAUAGUACUUACAACCUCGCAUGACCUCUUGGCCAGCAUAAAACAAAUACUGUUUCAUCAUCAUAAAACAAUGUUUCAAAACUGCAGCGGAAAAGGGUAGAACAAAAGGGCCUCAACUACUCCAAGGUGAGAGCAUGUUGGAAUGUAAGCACAUGACCCAUGACAAAACGACGAACCUCACUCAUCGUCGGAUCCACCUGCAUUGUAAUUGCAGCCACUACGUGGUCAAUACAUUUGAAUGUAUUGGCAAGUUCACCAGAGUUAUAAAGGACCUACCAAGUAUAUGCAUAAUUUGGCUAGGUGGAGUUUGGCUGUUUGCAUAAAAGCAUCAUAGUUCAAUCCUAUCAUUUUUAAACAAUUAGUUUUGAAUUCUAUUGGACACGGGAUAGAAACACCCAUGCUCCUAUUAACCUAGGCACAUUGAGUAGAAACAUCAAUGCUCCUACCCAGUUCAAACCAUUCUUUUUAUUAGGAAAUUGGAAUGAGUGAGACCUUUCUUACAGCCCCAAUAUCUAGUUGCUCAUAAUUGUCCGUAACCGGGGACACGGCUAAGUACUUAGUUUGACACUCUCGAGAGGUUGUACACAUUCCCCACAAGAAAUCGACGUGUUAAUCCCUUGCUGUCCUCAGGGUAGAGUAGCAACGGCAUCGACUACAGGAUUUUUCAGAACAUAAUCUCCCAGACCACCUGAUGGACGCGCCCCCACCUACACUGCUACAUACCGAUGUCACCUCGGAUCCGGGUUCAUAUUUCUUACAUCCAUCCUGGCAGAGCCCAUAAUACCAUGUGGUUGUACUGGAAUCUACUAAACAAGAAACUAGUCCAGUCUCUGGUUACCCCGGGUGGCAUUCCUCAGUUGCAACGCAGGCGCUCCCAUAGAAAUGGUGAGACGACUCAUAGAAAUGGACCCAUAGAAAUGGACCUGACGUCGCAUACAUCUCCACUUCCUCAAAGCAGCCCACCCAGGACGGUUUAUUGAAUUACUUGUUUUGCCGUACACUAGGAAAACCAUAUUGUAAUUCAAUAGUAUCACAUUGUAAUAAUACCACCCUCGUAUAUUAUCAUAUCCUAGCAUUUUACUACCACGAUGGCAAUUGGUGGUGGGAACAUGGCAAAGGUAUUCUACACUAUUAGGAGAAUCAUAGCAUAGCAUAGAUACAAUAAUAAUCCUAACAAUGCAACUAAUAAAAUCUAGUGCAUAAUAAAGUAAUACGUGAAUGAUCAAAGUGAACUUGCCUUGAUAGUAGUUGGUAUUCAAACACUCUUCGCAAUCACACAGUUCGUUCUCCAAGAAAACUAAUCAAAUACAAACAUUGCAUACAUAAGCACACAAUACAAUCAAGAGUAAAAAAGUAUGCCAUGAUGCAAUGUAAAACAUGUGACAUGAGCUUGGUUUAUUUUAUUUGAGUGAUCUACUGAUCCUAAGCAUAAGUAAUUAAAACAAAUGCAUUAGCGUUUUAAAUAGAAAGGCAAAGGCUAGGGUUUAAACCCUGAAAUAAGGUUUUAUUUGCGUCUGCAAAGAAAUUUAAUUCAAAAUAUUUAUUUCUCUGUCUUUAUGGACAGAGGAUAAUAAAAUAAAAUUUUGGGCACUGGUUUCAUUCAAAAAGGACUUCUAAAUAAUUAGUUAUGAUUUAAAUAGUAUUAUACCUUAUUCUGUAAUUUGAAUGUGAUUCAAAUUUUCAAAUUUAAAAAUGGACAGUGCCAAAAGAUUCUACACUUCCUAAGGAUUUCAAAAAGGUGUGGAUCAUCAAAUUUGGCCAAACAGAUUAAAAGAUAUGAUCAUUUGAAGUUAGAGGGGCUUUUCUGCAAAAGUGCCAUUUCUAAUUAUUCCGGGAAUUAAAAUUAGAUUUUCGUUUUAUAAAAUAGGUGCCACAUGUCACGUUCUCAUUGGUGCGUACCGGUUCGGUUAAAAAUAAACACGGGAUCUAAUCCUAGCCCUCGGAUCUGGAUCGGACGGACGGGGCGGGCUAGGGUUUACCUCCGUGGCGGCGGCGGUCGCCGGAGACGAGGGAGACGGCGGCGCGGGCACGGGCGGGCGGCUCCUCCGGUGAAGUUGACGGCGCGGGGAGGUGCUGGGUCGACACGGCGCGGUACGGCGAAGUCGGGGGCGAGGUCGGCGCUCCUCGGGGUCGUCGGGGUGCUCGCCUAGGAUGGCGCGGAGACAGCGGCGAGCGGCGGACGGCUCCGGAUCUUCGGCUUGACGACGGCGAGGCGCUGCGGCGCGCAAAAAGGAGAAACGGACGCAUCAAAAGAUGCGCAAGGACGAAGGAAAGCGAACGGCUAGAAAUGGGCAGAGUUUUGACCUUAGGGUUCACCGGCGGCGACCAAAACGUGCGGCGGCGAGCGACGAGCUCCGGCGAGCGAUUCCGGCGGAGUGGGCGCGUGAGAGAGAGGGGAACGAAGGGGGAAGAAGAGAGGGGGGCGGGGGGCAGAGCUUUAUGUUGACGCGCUCGGGGCUGCGAAAUAUGGACGGAGCGCAGAGAUCUCGGCGGAGACGGCACGCGGUGGCGAAGAAGGAAAGCGGCGGUGGACGCGGGCGCUUUCCAUCGGGAACGAAGACCCUGACGCGUGGGUCCCACGCGUCAGUGGCAGCGGGCACGCGCGCGUGCGGCGGGGCCAGUCUGGCUCGGUCGGGCGCGGUCGGAGGGGGCUGGUCCGGCCCAUUUUGGCGGGGCCGGUCCGGUUUUCUCUUUAUUUUUCUUUUAGCCCUUUUGUUUUUUCUGUUUUUCCUAUUUCUUUGAUAUCUUUUGAUUUUUACUCCAAAUUGGUCCAAAUAAAUUCUAGAAAAUUUCUAAAAUCAUGUUCUAUCAUGAUUCAACUUUUGGGAGUAAUUUCCCUUCAAAAUAAAAUACCUAAAAAUACAUUUUCCCUAUAAAUGCCUUUAGGGCUAUAUAACUAUUUAAAUAAAAUAGUUUUUCAACUCCAAAUAAUUGUCCAAAAAUUAUGGAAUAGCUCAUUUAUGCAAUAAACCCCUUUUAUAAAUAAACCUUAUUGGUUUAAAGAUUCAAAGCUCAAAUGGGUGUAAACCCUAGGGUUUAAAUUGAAAUAAAAACUUUUAAAGCCUUUUGAGAUUCAAAUUUGAAUUCAAACGUGCAAUUGUGGCAUGAUGCUUAUGAAUGCAAUGCAUAUGAAAGGAUUUGAAAUUUUGGGAUGUUACAGUCAAUGUCGCCAAGAGCUGCAGGACGUGGCCGCCGAAAAGAGUCGUCUUCAGGAACGUAUAGACUCCCGUAUUUCCGCAGAGAAAGAGCGGGAGAAGGUUUGGAUCGAGCGACUCGAAAGUGCUACUCACUCAGUUGCUGGUGAGCGCUUGAACCUGUUAUUCGAGUGGCUUUUCCUUCUCGUGGAAAAUUUUGACCGUUUCUCUGUCCUUUUGCAGGAGUCCUUGAUGCUUCCGCAUAGGUCCAAUUCAAAGAGAGAAGCCGAAGCUUCAAUGAUGUUUUAGAAAAUGUUGAAGUCAUCAAUGAUGAAGCCAAGGGCAAGCUCCGGCAAGCGACAAAGAUUCUGACCACCGUAAUCAGGAAGAUGACUCCUGAUGGGUCAGUGCCGGAGUCGCUGAAUGGGCUUAUUGAAUUUUUUGCAGCGAGUCAUGACCCGGUAGGGGAGUACUACUGAUGCUGAGCUAUUCUUUACGCUUGCUCUUGCGCAUGGCAUUGAGGAAGACGCUCUCCAUCGAGUAACCUCUCGAUCGAGAGCAGGUGACUCGGUCAACCUAGGGCCCCUUAUGGGAAAGGGCAAAGAGCUGGCUGAGAUCUCGUUGCGGCAGCCACGUAGAUCAAUUGAGGAGAUGAACCUAGCUUCAUCCAGCGGCCCAGAGGUGGGUGAUCUUUCACUAGAUAUAUUUGAUUCUCUUUCUCCUUUGUGAAUCUUCUUCUUCUGUUCUUAUACCUUUGUAAAGAACUGCUCUAGCUGAGCCCUUUUUGGAAAGAAAUCAAAAAAUCUUUAUUUCCAUCCCGAAAGGGGUUCUUCAGGAUAAAUGCUGAGGUAACUUGUGUCUUUUCCGCGCAGAGGGAAAAAGGACCAUCGAGUCACUCGAUUCCAGGUGCAGCGGCAACCUCUCGCAACGAUGCUCCAGCCGAUCCUAGCGGAAAAGGUCAGGCUGGGUCGGCUUUGUGCCCAGAGCAGUUACGAGAAAUUGAGGCUCGAUUCACUAAAUUGAAGCGUGACACGCUGGGUGACGCUCAGAGUAGCAAAUCUAGCCUGAAAGCUGCGACCAACCGGGAAGAGUUUGUCUUUGGAGAGCUUCGCAGCCUGAGCAGCCAAAUCCAAGGUAAGGAUCGCAAGACUUUGCCUUUCGAGUCGGUCUGCAAAGUGAUCUUACCGUCUUCUGUGCAGUUGUUCGCUUUGACCCUGACGAUGAAAAGGCCAAAGUGAAUACCGCCAUUCAAGCUCGCAGAGUGCAUGAUCCAUCAUCCUUUUCGCUGGAUCAGUCAAGGAGCUACGACUUGAUGCUGUUGAUCGAGCGGAUCAAGCAGGUCAAAAGGUACUUGACCUCCUGCCGUGACAUGCUAGCUUCGACACAUCUGGCCUUAUGGCCACAGGAGAAGGUGCCUCGUAAACCGGGCAGCCUGAUGGUGAAGUUUCACGACGAGGAGAAGAUGAAGGAGCUGGUUCGACUCUAGCUGGUGAGGGGUGCCCAGAUUGCCCUCGCAUUUGUGCGAGUCAACUGCCCAGAGUUGGAUUUCUGGCAAAUUGCUACAUUGCCAGUUACUCUCACCCAGGGUAUAAAGUCAUUCCUGGAGGCUGGGCAGGCGGCGGCGCUGUAGAUGAUCCAGCAAUGGGAGGCAGCUGAGGAGGAGACCCUGCCUGUCGUAGGUAGUCAUGUAGUUUUUUUCCUCUCUUUUUUUGUAACGACUAGUCUACCGGGUGCGCGAUCAGCGCUCCCGGUGGGAGUAGCCCCCGAGUGCGGUUGCAACUGUGUGUAGUGGCGACCGGACUCAAGGUUGUAAUGUGAUAUCCUUGAGCAAUGUUGCACCCCUUCUUUUUUUGGAAUGGAGCGCCCUGACUUGCCAAUUAGCGCCGAGUCGAAUUCCGACUUGUGGAAGUCGAAUUUGAGUCGGAUUUGAAGUACUCCUGGUGGGAGUGCCUCGCAGUCGAAUAUAAAUAGCCGAGUGCAGACUCGAACGUACUAGCCAGCGCAAGGGAUUUGUCCUGCUGAUUAGCACUUGGGCCUUGGAAGAAGAUAUGGAUUCCUCCGAUGCACUCGAGGUUAUGCAUAUCCGUUUGGGACAUGUGAGGAAUACCACCUCGCGCAGGCAUGGGAGGAGAUUUCCUUGCUCAAGUCGGAGAAUCGGGCCGCAUCGGGUCGAGAGGAUUUAAUUUCCUCAGGGAAAAUGUGAAGGUUGAAGCUGAAUGUGUAAAGAGUCGUCUUGAUGCUUUAGCACGAUCUGGUUCGGAGAACCCAUCCUUCUAGUCAAAACCGCGACAAGGGUUAUGCCCUUGCGCUUCUGCAAGAUCGAGUUGCAAGAGCAGUGAUCUGCCUGAAGUCCUGCAGUCACUGUUUGACAGAGGUUCACCAUAACUUGUUUCCGGAGCUUCGUGUCCCUGUUGACCUGAAGGGAUUAAUCGAGAGAUUUUGUGAAGGAGCAGUAGUGAGGGGGGCUACUCAUGAACAAUUGGUGGAGGGUGUUGUGCUGGCUCUCUCGUUUGUUCGUUUUCGCUACCCCUCAUUGAAUCUGGACUCCCUGCAUUUGACUCCCUCUUACAUUCCAGACGAUGCUCAGCUUGGACCGAUUUACGACAUGAUGGAGAACACGACAUGUCAGCUGGUGACUCUUAUGGCCUUGGAGUAGAGUAGGCUUUGAUACUCGUUUAAAUAUGUAGGCGUAGUUGUCUGAGUAGUAUUUUUACCGGGUGCGCGACCAGCGCUCCCGGUGGGAGUAGCCCUCGGGUCUGUGCAUGACUGGUUUGCAGUCAUGUGGAGACCCAAAUACUUUGAAAUCUUUUGUAAUUGAAAACUGUUAGCAUCGUUGAAGAUGCCGCACCUUCUUGUUCUGUACUUCCAUUGAUCUUGUAUGAGAAAACAUUAUGAUUCCAAUUUUGCUUGCUUGGAAACUGCCGACCAUUGAAUGAUUGUGCUGAUGUUUGUUUACGCGAUAGCCCGUGAAUGCCGGCUGCAUACAACGAGAGUUUUUUAAAGUCGAUUGAACGCAGCCUCCGAGCGUGGGGUGCGACCAAUGACAAUGUCUGCGGUCGACGGGACACAGCCCCCGAGUGUCGAGUGUGUCCAAUGAUAAGUUUGGGUCGAUUGGACGCAGCCCCCGAGUGUCGGGUGCGUCCAAUGACAGUUUAGGUCGAUUGGACGCAGUCCCCGAGUGUCGGGUACGUCCAAUGACAAGUUUGGGUCGAUUGGACGUGUAACAUACCGGUUCUCGGCAUUUCCAAAAUCUAUUUCCUAAAAAUGACUACUUGAAAAUUUCGCUGAAUUAAACAAAGCUUAACUGGAAAUUUCUUGAAUCUUUGGUUCUAAAUUGAAUUUACACCGACUAAAUAUGAAUUUGAUUUAUACACUUUCUCAUUUGGUUUGCUUAUAUUUUAUUUGGAUUCUCCAUGUUCAAAUAUGCACUUUUAAAUCUCUCUGGAAUUCAUCUCGAAGUUGAUUUGAUGUUUGAGAAGUUCAUUCGAUCUCUUAGCUUCUGUAAAAAUAAAAAAGCAUUUCCUCUUUCUUUUUAGCUUUGGCUGAAAUCCCCAGCCGCAACCCAUCUUCCUUCUCUCUCCCGUAGCCCACUUCUGGCCGAACUGCUCCAGACUACCGUGCCUUGCUUCUAUUUUCUCCCGCGUGUGUUUAAUCUCCAGAGGACGAAGGAGAACUGCCAUCUCCUCGACGCCAGUGUAACUCGAGCUACCUAGAACGAUCGUAUUCAGAGGGAGCUCACGCGAGGAAGACAAGAGUUUUUGCGCUGCUCAAACUUCCGCAGCUUUUCUGGCAUUUUUCAUUCCCCUUUUUAUUCAGACGUUACAUGCAAAACAGAAAAUGGGGAGAGCAAGCCGCGCCAUGAUCCGCUGAUCCCGCGCCAUCCCACGGCCGAGUCAUGGCGCACAUCCCGCUCCUCCACAACGGCCACACUAUAGGCACGCCCAUGCAAACGUACGCAGACAUGCUGGGACGUGUUAUGCUAACAGAAAACAAACUAACAACUGAAAGCAAAGAUGUUUAACAUGCACGAGUUUACUAACAAAACACUCCCUAAACUCGUGCACCUACUUUAUUUGGAUCAUACCAAUCUUCGAGCGCAAUUCCUGGAAUCUGACGCGGCCAAGGGACUUGGUCAGGAUAUCAGAGAGCUGCGCCUCAGUUCGGAUGAACUCCACUUCAGCCUGGCCUUUCUCAACGCACUCCCGUAUGAAGUGAAAUCGAGUGUCGAUGUGUUUGCUCCUGUCGUGGAACACAGUAUUCCGGCUGAGAGAGAUCGCCGACUUGUUGUCGACGAACAACUUGAUGCAGGCCGCCUCUUCCUUCUUCAGUUCACCGAAAAGACGAGCUAGCCACACUCCCUGAGAGACAGCAGUGGUCACCGCAAUGUAUUCGGCUUCACAAGAUGAGAGCGCCACCACCUUCUGCUUGGUUGACUGCCAGGUAAUCGGACUUGUUCCGAGGAAGAAGAGGACGCCGUGGUGCUUUUGCGGUCGUCUAUGUCGCCAGCCAAGUUGCUGUCGCUGUAACCGACAAGGUUGGCGUCGCCGUUUGCUCCUCGUGCAAACUUGCAGCCAUAGUUCAGGGUCCCCGCGACGUAGCGAAGUAUGUGCUUCACUGCUGCAAGGUGCUUGACAGUAGGGGACUCCAUGAAUCUGCUCACAUAGCCCACCGAGAAAGUGAUAUCCGGCCGGGUGUGAACCAGGUACCUGAGGCACCCCACGAUGCUCCUAUAUUCAGAAGCAUCCGUUGGCUCUGCUGAACUAGCUUUGCUCAGCUUGAGGCGUGUUUCCAUCGGCGUCUGACAAGAAUUACAGCCCGUCAUCCCACUGCGCUCAAGGAUCUUCACGGCGUAUGAGGACUGACAGAUGGUGAUGCCGGCAGCGUCUUGCUGCACUUCAAUGCCAAGAUAGAAACUGAGUGGCCCAAGGUCACUCAUCUCAAACAGCUGCUUCAUUUCUGCUUUGAACAACUGCAGCUCUUGCUCGUUGGCUCUAGUAAUGAUCAGGUCGUCCACGUAAACUCCGACCAAAACUCUGGCUUUGUCUUCACCUCUGGUAUAGACAGCAUGCUCCAGCUUGCUGCGAACAAAGCCAAUUGACGUAAGGCAAUGAUCCAGCUUUGCAUUCCAUGCCCUAGGAGCCUGUUUUAGACCAUAUAAGGCCUUCCGAAGCUUGAACACCUUGUGCUCUUGCCCUUUCACCUCGAAGCCCGGUGGCUGAGCAACAAACACCGUCUCCUCUAGUUCACCAUUGAGGAAGGCGGACUUCACGUCCGUGUGGUGCACAGUCCACCCGGCAUGCGCCGGGAGAGCAAGCAGCAGCCGGAUGGAGUCCAGAUGAGCGACCGGCACGAACACUUCGUCAUAGUCCACGCCAUGCCGCUGCACGUAGCCCUUUGCGACAAGACGGGCUUUGUGCUUGGCCACCUUGCCGCGAGAGUCUUUUUUCACCUUGUACACCCACUUCAAUCCUAUAGGACGUUGUCCUUCCGGCAGCGAGACCAAUUCCCAAGUAUCAUUGGCCUCAAUAGAAUGCAUUUCCUCCAUUGCUUUGCGCCACCACGCAUACUGGAUGGCAUCACGGUGGCUCGUUGGUUCUUCGUUGAUGAGGAGAUUCAGCAGCGGGGCCGCACCGGCAUCAAGCACAUUCCUGACAGUGCGAUACCGAUGAGGCACAUGAGCGUCGUCGUCGUUGUCGAACAGCUCUGGUUCCACCGUGGGUGGAGAGACAAGCUCGAAUCCCACAGUGGGCGAUUCAGCAGGCGUUGCUGGUGUUGCGGGCGUUGCUGGAGUCAUGGGCGCUGGACUGGAGUCGUUCGUGUUGUCGGCCGGAACUGGAGAUAAUGCCGCCUGCGUCGCGGCCGGGUGCAGCACAUACUCAACAGUAAAAUAAUCUGUCGACAAACCAGAGUCGUUAUUGCUGCCGUCUGCGUCCCAGUUCCAUGCCGCAGACUCGUCGAACACCACGUCACGAGUGACAUGGAUGCGCCUCGCCACGGGAUCAAACAUUUGGUAGGCCUUGAUCCCAGGCUCGUAGCCGAACAUGACCAUCUUGCGGCUCCUGUCGUCCAGCUUCUUGACAUUGGGGCUCACCAUUUUGACAUGGCCGAUGCAGCCAAAAGUGCGGAGAUAGUGCACAUUCGGCUGCCAUCCAUGCCACGCCUCGAACGGGGUCUUGCCCUCAACGCUGGCCGUCGGCAAACGGUUCAGCAGGUACACUGCCGUGGUGACUGCCUCGCCCCAGAACUCCGCCGGCACUCCCUUCGCCUUCGCAGGCAGCGUGCCAUGCCGACGACGUUUGAUUGCGCCGCUCGACGACGCCGUUUUGCUGGGGAGAGUACGGCGCUGUCAAGUGCCGCUUCACUCCCAGCUCCUCGCAAUAUGCAGUGAAGUUGUUCGACGUAAAUUCACCGCCGCGAUCGGUGCGCAGCGCUCGGAGUGGAUGCUGCGACUCGUUCUCGGCAGCCACCUUGAAUCGCUUGAUGGCCACGACUGCCUCGUCCUUGCUCGUCAACAAGGUCAGCCACAUAUACCUGCUAUAAUCAUCCACAAGAAGCAGGAAGUACCGCUUGCCUCCUGGCGUUGCCGGUGUCACCGGGCCGCAGAGAUCGCCAUGCACCAGUUCAAGCUGAUCUGCAGCCCGGUACUUUGCCUGGUGGGGAAAGGGAGCUCGGCGUUGCUUCCCCACCAAGCAGCUGUCGCAGAGCUGGCCCACGCGCUCGAUCGUCGGCAUGCCGCGAACCAUGCCGUCCCUGGAGAGCCUCCGCAGUGCAUCGAAGUGCAGGUGGCCGUACCUGGCGUGCCAACGCCAGGCGUCAUCGUUCCCUUGUACAGAGAGGCAGAUGGGCUGCGCCACCUCGAGAUGUAGCACGUACAGACGCCCCCGGUUUCGCCUCACACGAGCGAGCAGCUUCCGUUGUGGAUCCCACAGCCGGAGAACGCCGUGGUGGAUGUUCGUCUCACACCCAAUUUCGUCCAUCUGCCCUAGACUGAUGAUAUUGCUCUCCAGACGUGGGAUGAAGUAGACAUCAGUGAGCACUCGGUGCUCACCGUUCCGGCAAGUGAAGACAAUCUUGCCGCGGCCCUCGAUGUUGACCAGCGAGCCGUCCCUGAGCUUUACGCGUCCACUCAUGCCGGCAUGCAGCUCGGAGAAGAGUUCACGGCGCCCGGACAUGUGGUUCGACGCGCCACUGUCCAGGAACCAUGACAUGUUGCAGCGCCCAUCGCCGGGAGCCGCGCGGGCUUUAGAGUGCUCCUCAUUCAGCAUGACGUGCUCCUCGGCGUCGUCCGUGAUCACCUUCAGCGCGCACGUGCGCGCCAUGAGGAGCGCCGGCUCCUCGUCGUCGGCUUGGGCGAGAUUGGCAUGCCCCUUUCAUUCCUUCCUAGGCUCACGACAAUGCUUCGAGAAAUGGCCCAUCUUAUUGCAAUUGAAACAUUUCACCUUGGACAUGUCGAUGUUUCCGUUGGCGUCGCGGGCAUGCCCAAUGCCCUGUUGCUUCGGAGCCUUGCCGCGCUCGUUGCCGUUCGCGUUCUGGGCAUGGUUCGUGCCGCCCACGUUCUGGCCUUGGCCACCGCUGCCUUGGCCCGUCUGGCGCUGGCUGCGGCGUGUCUCCCACUCCUCUUCGGUGAGGAGUAGCUGGCCUCCGGCAGCACUGGACGAGCUGCUGCCGAGGGUGUAUCGGGACUCCGCCGCGCGAAGCCGCCCGAUGAGUUCCUCCAAAGACACCUGCUUGAGGUCGAGCAGCGUCUCAAUCGACAUCACGAUUUGCAUGUAUUUCUCCGGCACACGCGCGAGGAACUUCUUCACCACCGUGUGACCGGCGCCACCGGAUCGCCGAGCGUCUCCAUGUGGUUGAUAUGGCUGUUGACCCGCAUGCUGAACGAGUCGAGGGAUUCGCCGAGUUUGAAGGCGAAGCGCUCCCACUGCGUGCGAAGGCGUUCCACCGCCGCCUUGCGCACGCGCUCCACGCCGAGGCGCAUGAGCUUGAUGGCCUCCCAGCCCUCCCUGGCCGUCUCCUUGGAGGCAAUGAUGCCUUUCAUCUCCGGUGGCACGGCUUUGAUCAGCGCCGCCAGAGCAUUCAUCUCGUCGACCUCGCUGAUCUCGUCGUCCUCCUCAGCGAUCAUGGCCGUCCACAACCGCUGGGCACGCAGGUUGACCUUCAUGACCUGUGCCCACUCGACGUAGUUCGUCGCCGUUAGCUCGGGGCAGGUGAUCGUGCUUCCCCCGCCGCCGGCGACCACCCUCUCCUGGACGAUUAUCUGGCGGUUGUCGUUCCGCCUCGCGCCAGGACUCUGACCUCGCGGCCGUCGUGAAGCCGACCGCGAACCACCGACAGACCGCUCGCGUGAGCGAUCCUGACUGCCGGCCAUGGCGCCUAGAGCCUUUCGUGGCUCUGAUACCAACUGUAACUCGAGCUACCUAGAACUAUCGUAUUCAGAGGGAGCUCACGCGAGGAAGACAAGAGUUUUUGCGCUGCUCAGCCAGAAACCGGCAACAAGAAACGUCAUCCGACAGCCAUCAAAUUAAUAACCCCAUCUUGCCCUUCCUUCCUUUCCUCCCUGCUGCUUUUGCACGCCAUAGCCUGAAUUCCACCCGCAGCAUCGCCAAGUCCCUGCCUGCGCCCCACUGCCCACCAAAUCGCCAUUGAUGUUGACGGCAGAAUCCUGCGAAUAAAAACGCUGCAGACCAAACCCUUGCGCCAGAACAACCACACCAUUCCAAUUUUCCCCAACGCAACUCUCCCCUCUCCACUUUCCAACCGAAGACCCCCAUGGUGCAGCACCGAAGAGGAUGACAAGGGAGAGCAGCACCAGCGAUCAUGUCAGGAGGGCCAUGCCAAGAAGGGAUCGAGGCCAAGCGCCAUGCAGUAGGAAGAAAGGACUGUCGUCUGAUCGACUACAACCGCCAGCAAAUCCUCCUGUCUUUAUUCUACUGCUAUUCAUCGAAUUGGUGAGAAUCUGAUCAAACCAUCAUCCUUUUGAAUGCCUCUACAUCCAGCACAUAUGCAGAUUCAAGUGGAUUUCUGAACCAAUUUGUUUAGCAUCCCCAAAUUCUCUUUCUUCCACUUCUGAAUAUUGUUCCACCGAUCAAAUCUUUCUCCCAUCCUUUAGUAACCAUCUUUAGUCAGCAUUACCACUGGUUACAGGUCCUAGACCAAUCGGAUAGGGGUUGGGAACAAUAAAACUCAAAUAAGCCUAUCCUGCUUGUUAGCACCAAAAUGGUUGAUUUCAUAUCUUUGCUAGAUCAAUUUUUGUUUGUCUGAAACUUUCUGCAUAUAUAGAUGUCUAUCAUGUUCUAGUAUUAAUUUACUUUGCAUACAAAUAGUUUCACAUGUUCUGGACUUGUAGAUUUGAGGAUCUUGAGAUUGCAAGGUUGUUAUUUCAUGUGCAAUAGUUAUUUUGAUCAUGCUUGUUCUUUCUGUGUAAAAAUCUGCAUAAAUGUCUAUAAGAUCAUGUUUGUAGUUAGUUUUACCUGCACACAUUUUAGUUGGACUGUCACUUCUGAAUCUCCAUUUGUGGGCAUGUUUUAUCUAUUAUUUAAAAGCAUUGUUUGCAUUCUAGUUCAUCGGUUUGGUACAGAAAAUCAUGUGAAUGAAGUUUGCUGCACAAAAAUGCAUGGCAUGACAUCUUAGAUACUUCUAUGAGUAUUAUGAACAUAUUUUAGAACUCAGCCAUAUUUAUGUUAUUGAUCGUUGAGUGUAUCUAUUUUAAUUUGUGCAGAUUAAUAAAUGAUCAUUCUUGCAUAUGUUUUGCGUAGCUUAUUUGUACGGGUUAGAUUUAUGUCUUGGCUUGCUUGUAGUAUUUUUAGCCUGUAACAAAUUGUAUAUAUAUUGUUACAUAAUUAUUUCUAAAGUUUGUAGAAUUUUCUCACAUGCCUAGUUAGCUUUCAGAUUUAUAAAUUAGCAUCCUUGCUUGUGUUUUUGUUUAUGCAGCACAGCCAUGAUAGUUGUUUUGGUUAUAUCAGAUUUAAUAUAGCUUUUGUAUGCUUACUAGUAUUGUUGGUAAUUAUUUGAGUAUUUAUGGAUUGCUAGUUUGUUUUUAACAUUAUUAUUUCCAUAGAUAUACCAUGUUUAGUGUAUAUAAAUGCUUGUUAAUGUAUAUACUAUUUGUCUAAUACAUUGCAGCGUCCAAUAUUAUACUUGGGUUGUUUUGAUGCUUUCCAUGCUGUUCAUAUAUAUGUCAUGGUAUGAUGUUUGUUAUCCAUGGCCCAAGGUAGAAGAAGA